rnacentral:lncRNA from 1 species
GUGGCAUCUGGCUCCAAGGAUCCACCAUCUGGUUGCAUCAACCGGAAAGAAGAAAGAAGGGGGAAAAGGGGUAGCAAAGCAACCGUGAGUACUCAUCCAAAGUACUCGCAAGCAUCAGAUCUAUACUAAGUAUGCAUUUGUAUCAAAUGGAAGGGUUGUAUUUGUGGACUGCACUAUAGAAUGCCAGAAUAGAGGGGGAAAGCCUAGCCUAUCGAAGACUAGCAUCUUCACGCAGCUCCGAGCAUCUUGCAGCAUGUAGAAGAGUAAAGAAUAGCAGUUUAAUAUUUAACAAACAUGUUGUAACAUUAAUGCCCAGAGAUCCUUCCUCGACUCCCUGCGAGAAAGCAAUCCCGGAGCCACAUAUCUCAAGUAUCCAUUUGUAGUUGUAUAAGAUCAGGAUAUAAGUCUGAACGUCCAUUACCGUGGACACGGUAUUCGAAUAUAUAACUUCCCUGCAGGGGUGUGUUGGAAUCAUGCCCUAGAGGCAAUAAUAAAUUAGUUAUUAUUAUAUUUCCUUGUUCAUCAUAAUCGUUUAUUAUCCAUGCUAUAAUUGUAUUGAUAGGAAACUCAGAUACAUGUGUGGGUACAUAGACAACACCAUGUCCCUAGUAAGCCUCUAGUUGACUAGCUCGUUGAUCGAUAGAUGGUUACGGUUUCCUAACCAUGGACAUUGGAUGUCGUUGAUAAUGGGAUCACAUCAUUAGGAGAAUGAAGUGAUGGACAAGACCCAAUCCUAAGCCUAGCUCAAAGAUCGUAGUUCGUAUGCUAAAGCUUUUCUAAAUGUCAAGUAUCAUUUCCUUAGACCAUGAGAUUGUGCAACUCCCGGAUACUGUAGGAAUGCUUUGGGUGUACCAAAUGUCACAACAUAACUGGGUGGCUAUAAAGGUGCACUACGGGUAUCUCCGAAAGUGUCUGUUGGAUUGGCACGAAUCGAGACUGGGAUUUGUCACUCCGUGUGAUGGAGAGGUAUCUCUGGGCCCACUCGGUAGGACAUCAUUAUAAUGUGCACAAUGUGACCAAGGGGUUGAUCAUAGGAUGAUGUGUUACGAAACAAGUAAAGAGACUUGCCGCUAACGAGAUUGAACAAGGUAUCGGCAUACCGAUGAUCGAAUCUCGGGCAAGUAUAAUACCGUUGGACAAAGGGAAUUGCAUACGGGAUUGAUUGAGUCCUUGACAUCGUGGUUCAUCCGAUGAGAUCAUCGUGGAACAUGUAGGAGCCAACAUGGGUAUCUAGAUCCCGCAUUUGGUUAUUGGCCGGAGAGAUGUCUCCGUCAUGUCUACGUGUCUCCCGAACCCGUAGGGUCUACACACUUAAGAUUCGAUGACACUAGGGUUAUAAAGGAAGUUUGUAUGUGGUUACCGAAUGUUGUUCGGAGUCCCGGAUGAGAUCUCGGACGUCACGAGGAGUUCUGGAAUGGUCCGUAGGUAAAGCUUUAUAUAUGGGAAGUCCUGUUUUGGUCACCAGAAAAGUUUCGGGUUUUAUCGGUAACGUACCGGGACCACCGGGAGGGUCCCGGGGGUCCACCAAGUGGGGCUACCAUCCCCGGAGGGCUGCAUGGGCCAAGUGUGGGAGGGGACCAGCCCCAGGUGGGCUGGUGCGCCCCCCCACAAGGGCCCAAGGUGCCUAGGGUUUGGGGAAGGGGGUGCACCCACCUAACUUGGGGGGCAAGUUUCCCCUCUUCCCCCCCUUGGCCGCACCCUAGAUGGGUUUUGGGCUGGCUGCCGCCCCUAGGGGUGGAACCCUAGGUGGGGGCGCAGCACCCCCCUAUCCCCCUAUAUAUAGUGGAGGCAUUGGAGCAGCCCAACACAUAAGUUUCUUCUCUUGUUGGCGCAGCCCUACCUCUCUUUCUCCUCAUAUCUCGCGGUGCUUGGCGAAGCCCUGCUGGAUCAUCACGCUCCUCCAUCACCACCACGCCGUUGUGCUGCUGCUGGAUGGAGUCUUCCUCAACCUCUCCCUCUCUCGUUGCUGGAUCAAGGCAUGCGAGACGUCACCGGGCUGUACGUGUGUUGAACGCGGAGGUGUCGUCCGUUCGGCACUAGGAUCUCCGGUGAUUUGGAUCACGACGAGUACGACUCCUUCAACCCUGUUCUCUUGAAUGCUUCUGCUUAGAGAUCUACAAGGGUAUGUAGAUGCACUCUCCUUCCCCUCGUUGCUGGUUUCUCCAUAGAUAGAUCUUGGUGACACGUAGGAAUUUUUUUUGAAUUUCUGCUACGUUCCCCAACAGUGGUAUCAGAGCUAGGUUUAUUGCGUAGAUUCUUUGCACGAGUAGAACACAAAGUAGUUGUGGGCGUUGAUUUUGUUCAAUAUGCUUACUGUUACUAGUCCAAUCUUGUUUUGACGGUAUUGUGGGAUGAAGCGGCCCGGACCGACCUUACACGUACACUUACGUGAGACAGGUUCCACCGACUGACACGCACUUGGUGCAUAAGGUGGCUAGCGGGUGCCAGUCUCUCCCACUUUAUUCGGAACGGAUUCGAUGAAAAGGGUCCUUAUGAAGGGUAAAUAGCAAUUGGCAUAUCAUGUUGUGGUUUUUGCGUAGGUAAGAAACGUUCUUGCUAGAAACCCAUAGCAGCCACGUAAAACAUGCAAACAACAAUUAGAGGACGUCUAACUUGUUUUUGCAGGGUAUGCUAUGUGAUGUGAUAUGGCCAAGAAGAAUGUGAUGAAUGAUAUGUGAUGUAUGAGAUUGAUCAUGUUCUUGUAAUAGGAAUCACGACUUGCAUGUCGAUGAGUAUGACAACCGGCAGGAGCCAUAGGAGUUGUCUUUAUUUAUUGUAUGACCUGCGUGUCAUUGAACAAUGCCAUGUAAUUACUUUACUUUAUUGCUAACCGGUAGCCAUAGUAGUAGAAGUAAUGAGUUGGCGAGACAACUUCAUGGAGACACGAUGAUGGAAAUCAUGAUGAUGGAGAUCAUGGUGUCAUGCCGGUGAUGAUGAUGAUCAUGGAGCCCCGAAGAUGGAGAUCAAAAGGAGCAAAAUGAUAUUGGCCAUAUCAUCUCAGCAUUUGAUUGCAUGUGACGUUUAUCAUGUUUAUGCAUCUUAUUUGCUUAGAACGACGGUAGUAAAUAAGAUGAUCCCUCAUUAAAAUUUCAAGAAAGUGUUCCCCCUAACUGUGCACCGUUGUGAAAGUUCGUCGUUUCGAAGCGCCACAUGAUGAUCGGGUGUGAUAGAUUCUUACAUUCACAUACAACGGGUGUAAGCCAGAUUUACACACGCGAAACACUUAGGUUGACUUGACGAGCCUAGCAUGUACAGACAUGGCCUCGGAACACAAGAGACCGAAAGGUCGAGCAUGAGUCGUAUAGUAGAUACGAUCAACAUGAAGAUGUUCACUGAUGAUGACUAGUCCGUCUCACGUGAUGAUCGGACACGGCCUAGUUGACUCGGAUCAUGUAAUCACUUAGAUGACUAGAGGGAUGCCUAUCUAAGUGGGAGUUCUUAAGAUGAACUUAAUUAUCCUGAACAUAGUCAAAAGAUCUUUGCAAAUUAUGUCGUAAGCUCGCGCUUUAGUUCCACUGUUUAGAUGUGUUCCUAGAGAAAAUAUAGUUGAAAGUUGACAGUAGCGAUUAUGCGGACAGUAGAAAGCUUAUGUCCUUAAUGCACCGCUCAGUGUGCUGAACCUCGAACGUCGUCUGUGGAUGUUGCGAAAAUUUGACAUACACGUUACGUGAUAGUUCAGUAAUGUUAAAUGGUUUAGAAUUGAGGCACCGAAGACGAUUUCGAAACAUCGCGGAACAUAUGAGAUGUUUCGAGGGCUGAAAUUGGGAUUUCAAGCUCGUGCCCACGUCAAGAGGUAUAAGACCUCCGACGAUUUUCUUAGCCUGCAAACUAAGGGAGAAAAGCUCAAUCGUUGAGCUUGUGCUCAGAUUGUUUGAGUGCAACAAUCACUUGAAUCGAGUGGGAGUUGAUCUUCCAGAGAUAGUGAUGUUUCUCCAAAGUCAUUGCCACCAAGCUGCUAGAGCUUCGUGAUGAACUAUAACAAAUCAGGGAUAGAUAUGAUGAUCCUUGAGAUAUUCGCGAUGUUUGACACCGCGAAAGUAGAAAUCAAGAAGGAGCAUCAAUUGUUGAUGCUUAGUGAAACCACUAGUUUCAAGAAGGGCAAGGGAAAGAAGGGAUACUUCAUGAAACAGCAAAUCAAUUGCUUCUCUAGUGAAGAAACCCAAGGUUGAACCCAAACCCGAGACUCAGUGCUUCUGUAAUAAAGGGAACAGCCACUGGAGGAGAAUUACCUUAGAUACUUGGUAGAUGAGAAGGCUGGCAAGGUCAAUAGAAGUAUAUUGGAUAUACAUUGUGUUAAUGUGUACUUUACUAGUACUCCUAGUAGCACCAGGGUAUUAGAUACUGGUUCGGUUGUUAAGUGUUAGUAACUCGAAAUAAAAGCUACGGAAUAAACGGAGACGAGCUAGAGGUGAGCUGACAAUAUGUGUUGGAAGUGUUUCCAAGGUUGAUGUGAUCAGACAUCGCACGCUCCCUCUACCAUCAAGAUUAGUAUUAAACCUGAAUAAUUGUCUUUUGGUGUUUGCGUUGAUCAUAGACAUGAUUGGAUUAUGUCUAUCGCAAUACGUUUAUUCAUUUAAGGAGAAUAAUGGUUACUCUAUUUAUUUGAAUAAUACCUCUAAUGGUCUUGCACCUAAAGGAAUGGUUUAUUGAAUCUCGACCGUAGUGAUACACAUUUUCAUGCCAAAAGUUAUAAGAUAGUAAUGAUAGUACCACUUACUUGUGGCACUUUCAUGUAAGUCAUAUUGGUAUAAAACACAUGAAGAAGCUCCAUGUUGAUGGAUCUUUGGACUCACUCGUUUUUGAAAAGUUUGAGACAUGCGAACCAUGUCUAUUGGUGUAUACGCAUGAAGAAACUCCAUGCAGAUGGAUCAUUUGGACUCACUUGAUUUUGAAUCACUUGAGAUAUGCAAAUCUUACCACAUGGGCAAGAUGACUGAAAAGCCUCGUUUUCAGUAACAUGGAACAACAUAGAAACUUGUUGGAAGUAACACAUUUUGAUGUGUGCAGUCCAAUGAGUGCUGAGGCACGCAGUGGAUAUCAUUAUGUUCUUACUUCACCGAUGAUUUGAGUAGAUACUGAGUAUAUUUACUUGAUGAAACGCAAGUCUGAAUUAUUGAAUGGUUCAAGUAUUUUCAGAGUGAAGUUGAAGAUCGUCAUGACAAGAGGAUAAAAUGUCUAUGAUAUGAUCAUAGAGAUGAGUAUCUGAGUUAUGAGCUUUGGCACGCAAUUAAGACAUUGUGGAAAUUGUUUCACAAUUAAUACCGCCUGGAACACCAUGGUGUGAUGGUGUGUCCGAACAUCACAGUUGCACCUAUUGGAUAUGGUGCGUACCAUGAUGUCUCUUAUCGAAUUACCACUAUCUUUCAUGGGUUAGGCAUUAGAGACAACCGCACUCACUUUAAUAGGGCACCACAUAACUCGGUUGAGACGACACCGUAUGAACUAUGGUUUGGAGAAACCUAAGCUAUCGUUCCUUAAAAGUUUUGGGCUGUGACGCUUAUGUGAAAAAAGGGUUUCAGGUUGAUAAGCUCGUACCCAAAGCGGAUAAAAUGCAUCUUCAUAGGACACCCAAAACGGUUGGGUAUACCUCCUAAUUCAGAUCCGAAAGCAAUAGGGAUUGUUUCUGGAAUCGGGUCCUUUCUCGAGGAAAGGUUUCUCUCGAAAGAAUUGAGUGGGAGGAUGGUGGAGACUUGAUGAGGUUAUUGAACCGUCACUUCAACUAGUGUGUAGCAGGGCACAGGAAGUUGUUCCCAUGGCGCCUACACCAAUUGAAGUAGAAGCUUAUGAUAGUGAUCAUGAAGUUUUUGGAUCAAUUCACUACCGUACCUCGUAGGGUGACAAGGAUGCAUACCACUUCAGAGUGGUACAGUAAUCUUGUCUUGAAGGUCAUGUUGCUAGACAACAAUGAACCUACGAACUAUGGGGAAGCAAUGGUGGGCCCAUAUUCCGACAAAUGGUUAGAAGCCAUGAAAUCCGAGAUAGGAUCCAUGUAUCGAAAACAAAGCAUGGACUUUGGUGGACUUGCCUAAUGAUCGGCAAGCCAUUGAGAUAAAUGGAUCUUUAAGAAGAAGACAGACGUGGACGGUAAUGUCACCGUCUAUGAAGGUCGACUUGUGGCGAAGAUUUUUUCACAAGUUCAAGGAGUUGACUACGAUGAGAUUUUCUCAUCCGUAGUGAUGCUUAAGUCCGUCGGAAUCAUGUUAGCAUUAGCUGCAUUUAUGAAAUCUGGCAGAUGGAUGUCAAAACAAGUUUCCUUACCAGUUUUCGUAAGGAAAGGUUGUAUGUGAUACAGUCAGAAAGGUUUUGUCGAUCCUAAGGAUGCUAAAAGGUAUGCUAGCUCCAGCGAUCCUUCCAUGGACUAGAGUAAGCAUCUCGGAGUUGGAAUAUACACUUUGAUAAGAUGAUCAAAGAUUUUGGGUUUAUACAAAGUUUAUGAGAAACUUGUAUUUCCAAAUAAGUGAGUGGGAGCACUAUAGAAUUUCUGAUGGGUAUAUGUUGUUGACAUAUUGUUGACCAGAAAUGAUGUAGAAUUUCUGGAAAGCAUAUAGGGUUAUUUGAAAAGUGUUUUUCAAGUGAAAACCUGUAUUAAGCUACUUGAACAUUGAGCAUCAAGAUCUAUAGGGAUAGACCAAAAAUGCUUAAUGGUACUUUCAAAUGAGCAUAUACCUUGACAUGAUCUUGAAGGUGUUCAAGAUGGAUCAGUCAAAGAAGGAGUUCUUGCCUGAGAUGUAAGGUAUGAAGUUAAGACUUAAAGCUCGACCACGGCAGAAGAGAGAGAAAGGACGAAGGUCGUCCCUAUGCUUUAGACGUAGGCUCUACAGUAUGCUAUGCUAAGUACCGCACCUGAUGUGUGCCUUGCCACAUGUCUGGCAAGAGGGUUGUGACGCCCGGAUAAUCAAGCUACAGUAAACAUUACUGUUGCUAAUCUUGUGUUAGUUCGAAACCAAUUAUAAUUCAAAAUUCAAAAUCAAGCAAACAAUAAAAGUUUUCAAAUAUUAAAACUAAAAUGCGCAAUAAAUAGUAGAUAAAUCAGAGGCUACGAUAAAAUUGUAAACAACAUUAUUGAAAUUUGAUAAGUGACUUAAACAACCUCAAACAGUGACUAAAAACUUUAUUUAAUAACCUUUUUAUUAAUACAAAAGAAAUAUGAAAUGAUAUUUAACCCAAACUAGUUUUUGGUGGUAGGAUAUAUUGUGCUGUGAUUUGUGGGCCAGCUCUCAUAUUUUACAAAACUCAUUUGCUGCCCAAACAAUUAGCCAAAACAGAAAAGAAUAAAUAAAAGAAAAUUAAAUAAAUAAAACAGAGAAAUAAAAAGUUUAAAGGCCUAUUCUACUGGGCACUACAGCCCAAGUAGCAAACUGGCCGGCCUAGCUCACCUCGCUCCAUCCCCUCCUCACGCUACAAAGGACAGAGGAGGGCGUGGCGGCCAUCCGCCGGCCAUGGCCGCGCUAGGCCGUGCGUGGCGCCAUCCCCGACCUUCCUGAUGCCUUUAAGGCAUCCCCCACAGCCCCCCAAACCCUAGCACACCCCAGAACCCCUUGCCUCUCGCUCCCUCUCGCUCUCCCACUCGGUUUCCCUCCCCCGCCAUGGCUGCCGUUGACCUCGCGACCACCGUCGCCCCCGCGCCAAGCUUGAGAGCCCCGCGGAUCCGCCUCGACGCCCUCUUUCUCCUCCCCAACGCAGGAGAGAACAGGCGCUCUACAUCGAUGCCAUCGACUUCGUCUUCUUCGUCGGUGCCCGGAGCUCGCCACCGACGAUUCGGCGCCUUCUGCAGCUACUAAACUUCCACCGGCCUUUCUUGCGCCUCGCGGUGAGCUCCGCUACCAAAUCCACCCUAUUCCCCCUUGAUUUUGUCACACUAGUUGUUUGUGCAUCGCCAUGGCCACCAUGCCGAAGCUUCAUUCCUGCGCCGGGGGUGCUUUCUGCCGCCGCCAUAUUGUUGCUCCUGCUGCCGCCCGUGGAAACGCGCCCGCGCACGUCCAACCUCGCCCAGCCUCGGCUCAUGGCCUCCCCGCGCCUCGCAAGGCACGUGCCCGCGCGGCCUACCGCGGCCUCAUCCCCUGGUCGGUCGCGCCGCUUCCCCCUGCCCCGUUCGCCCACGAUGGCGCCCCUGGCUACGCUCAGCGCUCCCUGCCCGGUGCCCGUCCGUGCGGCCCCACUCCGGUGCCGCCUCCGGCUGCCGCGCGCACCACCGCGGCCUCGCACCGCUCCGGCCAUGGCCACGCCGUGGCCACCGGCCUCCCCUGUUCCCGUACCCUCCCGGGUCCCCGCCUGCACCUGGGCGUGCUCCCGUUCGGGUCGUGCAUUGCGCCCGCAACCACUAACGACCAGACCCGUUAUGGCCCCUGGGGCCUAUGACUGAUGGGCCCCCCGCCCCUAGAACGUUUUAUAAAAAAAGAAUUUUAAAAAAUAUAAUAAAUAAAAUAUUAAUUAAUUAACUGAAUUAAUCCUGAUUAGAUUAACCUAAUCACUUAGGUUAGUUAAUUAAUCUGUUAGGUUAAUUAACACUCAAUGAUAGCUGGGACCCAUAUGUCAGUUUGACCCAGUCAACGCCCUAUUAACUGCUGACAUCAUGAUGACGUCAGCAUGCACUAUUCUGGAUAAUGUUGAUUUAGAAUAAUUAAAUAAAUUCUAAAAAUGAUUAAAUCUUUUAAAAUUAAUAUGAAAUAAACCGUAGCUCGGAUGGAAAAACUUUGUACAUGAAAGUUGCUCAGAACGACGAGACGAAUCCGGAUACGCAGCCUGUUCGUCCGCCACACAUCCCUAACAUAUCAAACACGCAACUUCCCCCCUUCGGAUCACCUGUCCGAAAACGCAAAACACCGGGGAUACUUUCCCGGAUGUUUCCCCCUUUCGCCGGUAUCACCUACUACCGCGUUAGGGCACACCUAACCCCGCUCAUUGUCAUGUCAUGCGUUGUCAUGCUUAUGUUUGCAUUGUAUUUACUGUUUCUCCCCCCUCUUCUCUCCGGUAGACUAUGAGACCGACCCUGCUGCUACCUAGUUCGACUACGGAGUUGGCGACCCCUCCUUCUUGCCAGAGCAACCAGGCAAGUCCCCCCCCCCCCUUGAUCACCAGAUAUUGCCUAUUCUCCUCUAUACUGCUUGCAUUAGAGUAGUGUAGCAUGUUACUGCUUCCCGUUAAUCCUAUUCUGAUGCAUAGCCUGACAUUGUUGCUACAUCUGUUGAUACCUUACCUGCAAUCCUAAAUACUUAGUAUAGGAUGCUAGUUUAUCAUCUGUGGCCCUACAUUUUUGUUGGUCUGCCUUGCUAUACUAUCAGGCCGUGAUCACUUGGGAGGUGAUCGUGGGUAUAUAUUAUACAUAUAUACAUACUAUACAGAUGGUGACUAAAGUCGGGUUGGCUCGAAGAGUACCCGCGAGUGAUUCACGGAUUGGGGGCUGAAAGGACCUUUGUCCCGACGGCCCCCUGUGUGGAUCUUUGUAGCGGAGCGACAGGGUAGGUUGAGACCGCCUAGGUGAGAGGUGGGCCUGGCCCUGGUCGGUGUCCGCAGUUACAUCUAUUAACACACUUAACGAGAUCUUGGUAUUUGAUCUGAGUCUGGCCACUGGCCUAUAUGCACUAACCAACUACAUGGGAAAGAUAUGGGCACUCGACGUCAUGGUAUCAGCCGAAGCCUUCGUGACAUCAGCGACUGAGUGGCGCGCGCCGGAUUGGAAUAUAAGCCUGCUCUUGUAUUAAGGGGGCUAGUUCUGCUUCCGGCCGCGUUCAGAAUGUGCAGGUGUGCAAAGGACGAUGGGCCCAGACCCCCUGCGCCAUAGGAGUUACACCGGCGUGCUGACCUCUUUGUUGUGCCUAGGUGCGGUUGCGACGUGUUGAUCUUCCGAGGCCGGGCAUGACCCAGGAAAGUGUGUCCGGCCAAAUGGGAUCGAGCGUGUUGGGUUAUGUGGUGCACCCCUGCAGGGAAGUUUAUCUAUUCGAAUAGUCGUGUCCCUCGGUAAAAGGACGACCCGGAGUUGUACCUUGACCUUAUGACAACUAGAACCGGAUACUUAAUAAAACACACCCAGACAAGUUCCACAGACAACCCGGUGAUCGCUUUUCCACAGGGCGACGAGGGGAGGAUCACCGUGUAGGAUUAUGCUAUGCGAUGCUACUUGGAGGAUGUCAAUCUACUCUCUUCUACAUGCUGCAAGACGGAGGCUGCUAGAAGCGUAAUCUUCGAUAGGACUAGCUAUCCCCCUCAUAUUCUGGCAUUCUGAAGUUCAGUCCACUGAUAUGGCCUCCUUACACAUAUACCCAUGCAUAUGUAGUGUAGCUCCUUGCUUGCGAGUACUUUGGAUGAGUACUCACGGUUGCUUUGCUCCCUCUUUUCCCCCGUUUUCCUCUUCUUCUCGGAUGCCGCAACCAGACGUUGGAGCCCAGGAGCCAGACGCCACCGUCAACGACGACUACUACACUGGAGGUGCCUAUUACUACGUGCAGGCUGCUGACGGUGACCAGGAGUAGUUUAGGAGGAUCCCAGGCAGGAGGCCUGCGCCUCUUUCGAUCUGUAUCCCAGUUUGUGCUAGCCUUCUUAAGGCAAACUUGUUUGACUUAUGUCUGUACUUGAAUAUUGUUGCUUUCGCUGACUCAUCUAUGAUCGAGCACUUGUAUUCGAGCCCUCGAGGUCCCUGGCUUGUAUUAUGAUGCUUGUAUGACUUAUUUAUGUUUUUAGAGUUGUGUUGUGAUAUCUUCCAGUGAGUCCCUGAUCUUGAUCGUACACGUUUGCGUGCAUGAUUAGUGUACGAUUGAAUUGGGGGCGUCACAAGUUGGUAUCAGAGCCGACUUUCUGUAGGAAUCCCCCUUUCCAACUCCUUGGCCAAAGUUGAGUCUAGUCAUUGAAAAAGAAUUUUUACUAACAUGGCUUUGCGGCUUACGGGCGCAUGUUUCCAUUGGGUGGUAUUAGGAUCUUUUAUUUCUCGACCUAUACUCUGGGACUCUGACAUCUCUUCUAUUCGGGUUAAACGAUUUUACUUACUCCGGCUCUAGGUUCUCAUAACUACUUCCACCCGGAGAGCCCCUUAUUACAGAUGAUCGCCUGCUGCACCAGAAGAUUCCGAAGAUACUCUACGAUGUGCUCUCGAGACUAUGUGCCAUUGCUUUUGCAAUUCACUUCCAUUGAUAAUUCCCUCUGGAUAACUACUUACACCUGUCGUUCAUAUUGUCAUCCACAGUUGCUCUUGUUAUUACAAGAUGUCCUGAAAUACUCUCCGAUAUUCUGAGAAUUCUUUAUGCUUACUGCCCUACAGUUCCUUGCCGCAUGAAUACCCCUACGGUUAAUUACUCGCGCUUGCCGAGUAUCCGUUCGUCCAAAGUUGUUCGUGUGUUUCACAAAAUUCUUUGGAAUGUUAUUCAAUCUUUCAAAAAUCCUCAACAACCUAUUGUUCUUGAAAUUCUUGCUUACUAGCAUUAUGAUUAACUCCAUAAGUCUAGUAAUCUUAUGGCAUCCUUUGUCAAUAUCAUUUUGAGUACAUAAAUUCGAUAUGUUUGCGAAUGCUCGCAAUCAUCAAGCAAUAGAAUUCUUCCCUUCAGCUCAGACGUCACUCCGGACAUGAGCUGGUUCUUAACCAAUCAAUUUGUCAUCGAUUGUAUUCCCCUGUGUCUAUUCGACUUUCCAUCUUUGAUCAAAGCGUCUGCUUCUGAUCCUUUGUUUUGGAAAUCAUAAUACCUUUGUUACCAAAGCAUCGAACUAUUUAGAUGUUCUAUAAUCCGACGCAUUUGCUUCCUUUCCUCCUCUUAUUGAGUACCAAUACUCACAUCAACUCCGUUGUGCAACGCUAGGUCCAUUGCUGGGUUAUUAUCCGUUAGUAUCCUUCACAUUGAAAAAUUCUUGUGAGUUAUUCCCAUGAUACAUAAUGUCUUUGACAAUCGGUAUCUUGUGCUUUGCCAACCAUGCUCUACUUCCGAGCUGGAGUUAUUUGCUCCUGUAGUUUGUGCUAUAUGUUCCUAAGAUUCCCUUAUGGGUUGAGCCUAUACCUUCCUUAAAAAUCGUAUGAACCGGAAGGUUUUGACAAGUCAACCCUUCUAGUGUUUAGCAGAUAAUUUUCUACCAUACAACUUCUUCGAGGACAAGAAGUGAAUGGAAGGUUAUGCAUUAUGGAAGUGGGAGUCGACCUUGAACUUUGUGUUCAUGCCCAUGGACACGAUGUAGAUCUUAUCAUUAAAGCUUCUCUUAAAUUAAUUAUUCCCUUGGUAUAAGUACAUCUUAUAUCUGGGAUCUGGCCUUUUGCAAUCGUGGUUCCGACAAUGAUCUCCUUUAAAUACCAUUUCUCAUGCAUGUUUAAGCACUUACCUUCUAUAGAGCAAUACCCCAGUCCAAGCUCUACUUUGGACUGUCGUCGAGUAUUACCCCCUGGUAUCUCGAGGUUAUCUUGGAACUGCAUAACUACUUAUGAGUUCUUCAUCAAGUACUACAUUCUCACUGAUUACAAUUUUUCAUGGGCUCUGAGUUAUUAAACACUCAAAGACACCGAUAACUGAACCGAGUCCGCACUACGGUUCAACUACUCAUAGUAAUCUUCUUUAAGUACGAGUUUGUACCCGAUCAAGCCAUUCCUAGCCUGAUCGGCUAUAUCCUUAUCGUGCAACUUUUUAACUGUGCUACCUGGUCCUUAUUCCCGGAGCACCACUUUCGACGAUGAGCUAAGCUUACGUCGAUUUUCCUCGUCAUAUCAUUUCGCCUUGAACAGCAAGCUUGAUUUUGAGUUUGUGUCGUACUCGUGGUUCCAAUAACCUUUUGCUUCAUCAUUCCUUUGAUCUGAUGUUGUCGCCGAUCGAUUACAUCUUCAUGAAAUCUCGCAACAAAUAUGUCAUGAAAAUCAUCAACAUCCUGAGCUCUUCCAAAAUAUCUAUUGAAUUCUUGAUGAGAAAUACCAUCCUUGCCCUCGAUGAUUUGUGUUGUCAUCAACCACUUUAUUGCCUUCCCUCCAAUGCAAACUUGUUCGUGUUCUGUGUUAUACCUUGAGUUCCUUGCUAUCCAACAUUUGUUCUUCUUUACCUUGGAGUGUUACCAUCUUUUAUGUCAAGAAUGUCGUGAGGAUCACUCCACCUCUUAAGAAUUCUUGGUAUAGUGAUACUUCUCAUCAUCACCAUUCCUUCUUGGUUCCCGUGUUAUUUCUAACCGGAAUACCGACAAUUGAACUAUGAUGUGUGAAUUCAAAAUUCCUAGCAACCCUAUUGCUUUGAAGUGAAUGGUCGAUUGAUUCAUUUUAAUUCUUUUGUUCAUUAAGUCUUCGUCCUAAUAUUUAUCGUGCAUCCCAUCCCCAUAUUUCGGGUGCACCUGUCAAGCAAGUUUAAUUGUGGAUGUUUUCCUCGAACAUACAUCAUUAUAUCAUUUGAUCUGACAAUUGUUAUCUCCUUGUUCACAUAACUGUGGAAAUCCAUCUUAUUGGAAACCUCGAGGAAUUGUCUUUCAUUCCAUCGUCCACCUCCUCAUCCUCUCAUUGGUUUACUGAUGAACUCUUGUUCCGGAACUCACUUCCUUAGUUCAUUUCCCGAGAAUUUUACAAUGUCAUCUCGUCAAUUUGUGUCACACCUUUUCUUCUCGGGCAUCCUGAGUCUGAGGUAUCCUAACACCGAUCAGAUCUGAAUCUCGGUCAGAUAUGAUGGUUGGAACAUUUUUUCAAGAGUUAUAACACUGGUUUUUGUGACCCCGUAAGGUGAUGUCAUGCCCAGCACACCUGGGCGAAGGACCUACUGUUAUAGUUUCCUUUUUAGCAAGGUUAUCCAUCCUUCCAUGAUGAAAUUGUAAAACUUAUUCUAUAAGUUGUUCUUGAUGGAUCAUUUGUGUAUCCAAAAUCUUCCCCUUACACAAUGACCAUGUCAAUGCUAUCUCGAAGCAUGUCUGUGGUACUCUGAUUUUCAACAAAGAACAUUCGAAGCCCAAUGUUAAAUGUUUCCUGCUCAAUUAUCCAAACACCGUUGUAUGGGUAAUGACAUGAAAUUCCUCUUCCCUUACCGAAAUGGUUUUCUACUUUCUAUCAUAUCAUGCAUAUCAUGCUCUGCUUAUCCUUGGGAAGGAUAUACCCCUGAAAUAUGUGUUUAAACACAUUUUCCUUUCCAUUGUUCUGUUAAAUUGAUAAACACCUUUUCCUUUCCAUUGUUUUGUUUAACCUUUCUGGUGAUCAUUAUGGUCUAAGCAGUAUUAAUUCCCUGCUUAAGUAAACCCCUCGGUGUACAAUUCUGUCAGUAAGACCUUGUUACUUUUGUUGAUGACAUUCCAGUAACCACCGAUGGACGAGAACUUGCCUACUGGUCCGCCUCGUUUCAACGAGAAGGAAAAUGGUUCUCUUCAUCCCUCGCCCUUGAUACCCAUGUGGUUGUUGACAUAACCGACAGACUAACCUCUGACAUGCCUUGCUUACAUGACUAUGCAAGAUGUCAACACCCUUCCUACUAUUAACCCACAUGGUGGGCCCAUAACCCACAGUGCCACAGGAUCGAAACCUGACUCUCCGGUACACCCCCCGUUUCCAAGGUUAUUCCUCAUGCUUGGCUUCGUGUGUAAUUCGCGAGCCACCUUCCUAGUGAUCUAUUCUGGUAUUAGACAUAAUACUUAUACUUGUUACUCUGCACCCCUUUCACACCUUGUGUCAGUGAUCGAAUGAUUGUCUACCCGUUUGAAACUUCUUAUUGUACCAUAUUACUUUGCUCUCGACAUGUUUUAUUCGUUCAACUCGAGAGAUACUCAUAUGAUCAUUCAUGGGGUAACCCCCGAUGAUUACCCCUGUUAGCGUUCUAUCAUUGUCAAGCUGCCCCUUUCCUAUUCGUAAGUACAAUGGAGCUCCCGAAGGAAGGACACCGACCUCAUCAUGAUGACCUGAAUCAGAGAAAUGAAGACAUCAACGAAAGGGAUCAACCUCUUCGAAAGGGCAGCCAAGGCCGAGAAGACUCGUUAGGUUUUUCGCUACCAGCACCUUUCCCCCCUUACUCCACCGCUUAAAUCUCGGGACGAGAUUUCUUGUAGUGGAGGAGAGUUGUGACGCCCUGAUAAUCAAGCUACAGUAAACCUUUGCUAAUGAUGCCACGUCACCUCGAUUACUGUUGCUAAUCUUGUGUUAGUUCGAAACCAAUUAUAAUUCAAAAUUCAAAAUCAAGAAAACAAUAAAAGUUUUCAAAUAUUAAAACUAAAAUGUGCAAUAAAUAGUAGAUAAAUCAGAGGCUACGAUAAAAUUGUAAACAACAUUAUUGAAAUUUGAUAAGUGACUUAAACAACCUCAAGCAGUGACUAAAAACUUUAUUUAAUAACCUUUUUAUUAAUACAAAAGAAAUAUGAAAUGAUAUUUAACCCAAACUAGUUUUUGGUGGUAGGAUAUAUUGUGCUGUGAUUUGUGGGCCAGCUCUCAUAUUUUACAAAACUCAUUUGCUGCCCAAACAAUUAGCCAAGACAGAAAAGAAUAAAUAAAAGAAAAUUAAAUAAAUAAAACAGAGAAAUAAAAAGUUUAAAGGCCUAUUCUACUGGGCACUACGGCCCAAGUAGCAAACUGGUCGGCCUAGCCCACCUCGCUCCAUCCCCUCCUCACGCUACAGGGGACAGAGGAGGGCGUGGCGGCCAUGGCCGCGCCAGGCCGUGCGUGGCGCCAUCCUUGACCUCCCUGAUGCCUUUAAGGCAUCCCCCGCAGCCCCCCAAACCCUAGCACACCCCAGAACCCCUUGCCUCUCGCUCCCUCUCGCUCUCCCUCUCGGUUCCCCUCCCCCGCCAUGGCUGCCGUCGACCUCGCGACCAUCGUCGCCCCCGCGCCGAGCUUGAGAGCCCCGCGGAUCCGCCUCGACGCCUUCUUUCUCCUCCCCAACGCAGGAGAGACCAGGCGCUCUGCAUCGACGCCAUCGACUUCAUCUUCUUCGUCGGUGCCUGGAGCUCGCCACCGAGGAUUCACUGCCUUCUGCAGCUACUAAACUUCCAUCGGCCUUUCUUGCGCUCACGGUGAACUCCGCCACCAAAUCCACCCUAUUCCCCCUCGAUUUUGUUGCACUAGUUGUUUGUGCAUCGCCAUGGCCACCAUGUCGAAGCUUCGUUCCCGCUCCCGGGGUGCUUUCUGCCACCGCCGUAUUGCUGCUCCUACUGCCGCCCGUGGAAACGCGCCCGCGCACGUCCAACCUCGCCCCAGCCUCGGCUCGUGGCCUCCCCGCGCCUCGCAGGGCACGAGCCUGCGCGGCCUGUCGCGGCCUCGUCCCCUGGUCGCUCGCGCCGCUUCCCCCUACCCCAUUCGUCCACGACGGCGCCCCUGGCUGCGCUCAGUGCUCCCUGUCCGGCGCCCAUCCGCGCGGCCCCACUCCGACGCCGCCUCCGGCUGCCGUGCGCACCACCGCGGCCUCGCCCCGCGUCGGCCAUGGCCACGCCGUGGCCACCGGCCUCCCCUGUUCCCGUACCCUCCCGGGUCCCCGCCUGCACCUGGGCGUGCGCCCGUUCGGGUCNNNNNNNNNNNNNNNNNNNNNNNNNNNNNNNNNNNNNNNNNNNNNNNNNNNNNNNNNNNNNNNNNNNNNNNNNNNNNNNNNNNNNNNNNNNNNNNNNNNNNNNNNNNNNNNNNNNNNNNNNNNNNNNNNNNNNNNNNNNNNNNNNNNNNNNNNNNNNNNNNNNNNNNNNNNNNNNNNNNNNNNNNNNNNNNNNNNNNNNNNNNNNNNNNNNNNNNNNNNNNNNNNNNNNNNNNNNNNNNNNNNNNNNNNNNNNNNNNNNNNNNNNNNNNNNNNNNNNNNNNNNNNNNNNNNNNNNNNNNNNNNNNNNNNNNNNNNNNNNNNNNNNNNNNNNNNNNNNNNNNNNNNNNNNNNNNNNNNNNNNNNNNNNNNNNNNNNNNNNNNNNNNNNNNNNNNNNNNNNNNNNNNNNNNNNNNNNNNNNNNNNNNNNNNNNNNNNNNNNNNNNNNNNNNNNNNNNNNNNNNNNNNNNUUAUAAAAAAAGAAUUUAAAAAUAUAUAAUAAAUAAAAUAUUGAUUAAUUAACUUAAUUAAUCCUGAUUAGAUUAACCUAAUCACUUAGGUUAUUUAAUUAAUCUGUUAGGUUAAUUAACACUCAAUGACAGCUCGGACCCAUAUGUCAGUUUGACCCAGUCAAUGCCCUGUUGACUGCUGUAAUCAUGAUGACAUUAGCAUGCACUAUUUUGGAUAAUGUUGAUUUAGAAUAAUUAAAUAAAUUCUAGAAAUGAUUAAAUCUUUUAAAAUUAAUAUAAAAUAAACCGUAGCUCGGAUGGAAAAACUUUGUACAUGAACGUUGCUCAGAACGACGAGACGAAUCCGGAUACGCAGCUCGUUCAUCUGCCACACAUCCCUAACAUAUCGAACACGCAACUUUCCCCCUCCGGAUCACCUGUCCGAAAACGCGAAACACCGGGGAUACUUUCCCGGAUGUUUCCCCCUUUCGCCGGUAUCACCUACUACCGCGUUAGGGCACACCUAACCCCGCUCAUUGUCAUGUCAUGCGUCGUCAUGCUUAUGUUUGCAUUGUAUUUACUGUUUCUUCCCCCUCUUCUCUCCGGUAGACUACGAGACCGACGCUGCUGCUACCCAGUUCGACUAUGGAGUUGGCGACCCCUCCUUCUUGCUAGAGCAACCAGGCAAGCCCCCCCCCCUUGAUCACCAGAUAUCGCCUAUUCUCCUCUAUACUGCUUGCAUUAGAGUAGUGUAGCAUGUUACUGCUUUCCGUUAAUCCUAUUCUGAUGCAUAGCCUGACAUUGUUGCUACAUCUGUUGAUACCUUACCUGCAAUCCUAAAUACUUAGUAUAGGAUGCUAGUUUAUCAUCUGUGGCCCUACAUUUUUGUCGGUCUGCCUUGCUAUACUAUCAGGCCGUGAUCACUUGGGAGGUGAUCACGGGUAUAUACUAUACAUAUAUACAUACUAUACAAAUGGUGACUAAAGUCGGGUUUCGAAGAGUACCCGCGAGUGAUUCACGGAUUGGGGGCUGAAAGGACAUUUGUCCCGACGGCCCUCUGUGUGGAUCUUUGUGGCGGAGCGACAGGGCAGGUUAAGACCGCCUAGGUGAGAGGUGGGCCUGGCCCUGGUCGGUGUCCGCGGUUACAUCAAUUAACACGCUUAAUGAGAUCUUGGUAUUUGAUCUGAGUCUGGCCACUGGCCUAUACGCACUAACCAACUACGCGGGAAAGAUACGGGCACUCGACGUCGUGGUAUCAGCCGAAGCCUUCGUGACGUCAGCGACUUAGCGGCGUGCGCCGGAUUGGAACAUAAGCCUGCUCUUGUAUUAAGGGGGCUAGUUCUGCUUCCGGCCGCGUUCAUAAUGUGCAGGUGUGCAAAGGGCGAUGGGCCCAGACCCCUGCGCCAUAGGAGUUAGACCGGCGUGCUGACCUCUCUAUUGUGCCUAGGUGGGGCUGCGACAUGUUGAUCUUCCGAGGCCGGGCAUGACCCAGGAAAGUGUGUCCGGCCAAAUGGGAUCGAGCGUGUUGGGUUAUGUGGUGCACCCCUGCAGGGAAGUUUAUCUAUUCGAAUAGUCAUGUCCCUCGGUAAAAGGACGACCCGGAGUUGUACCUUGACCUUAUGAUAACUAGAACCGGAUACUUAAUAAAACACACCCAGACAAGUUCCACAGACAACCCGGUGAUUGCUUUUCCAUAGGGCAACAAGGGGAGGAUCGCCGGGUAGGAUUAUGCUAUGCGAUGCUACUUGGAGGAUGUCAAUCUACUCUCUUCUACAUGCUGCAAGACGGAGGCUGCCAGAAGCGUAGUCUUUGAUAGAACUAGCUAUCCCCCUCAUAUUCUGGCAUUCUGCAGUUCAGUCCACUGAUAUGGCCUCCUUACACAUAUACCCAUGCAUAUGUAGUGUAGCUCCUUGCUUGCGAGUACUUUGGAUGAGUACUCACGGUUGCUUUGCUCCCUCUUUUCCCCCGUUUUCCUCUUCUUCUCGGAUGCCGCAACCAGACGUUGGAGCCCAGGAGCCAGACGCCACCGUCGACGACGACUACUACACUAGAGGUGCCUAUUACUACGUGCAGGCUGCUGACGACGACCAGGAGUAGUUUAGGAGGAUCCCAGGCAGGAGGCCUACGCCUCUUUCGAUCUGUAUCCCAGUUUGUGCUAGCCUUCUUAAGGCAAACUUGUUUGACUUAUGUCUGUACUCAGAUAUUGUUGCUUUCGCUGACUCGUCUAUGAUUGAGCACUUGUAUUCGAGCCCUCGAGGCUCCUGGCUUGUAUUAUGAUGCUUCUAUGAAUUAUUUAUGUUUUUAUAGUUGUGUUGUGAUAUCUUCCCGUGAGUCCCUGAUCUUGAUCGUACAUGUUUGCGUGCAUGAUUAGUGUACGAUUGAAUCGGGGGCGUCACAAGGGUACAAAGGUGAUCAAGGAGUGGAUCACCAGAUAGCAGUCAAAAUUGUCCUUGGAGUAAUAAGGACAUGUUUCUCGAUUAUGGAGGUGAUAAAGAGUUCGACGUAAAGAUUUGCGUCGAUGCAAGAUUAACACCUAUCCGGAUAGCUCUGAGUAGAGAAGCCAGAUACGUAUAGUGGAACAACCAUUUGGAAUAGCUCCAACUAGAGCGUGGAAGCAACAUUUACAAUAUGACCUAGAGAUUUGCGAAGUACAUACGGAUCUGAAUGUUGCAGACCCAUUGACUAAAACCUCUCUCAAGCAAAACAUGAUCAAACCCCAGAACUCAUUGAGUCUUAAUCACAUGAUGAUGUGAACUAGUUUAAUGACACUAGUAAACUCUUUGGAUGUUGGUCACAUGGCGAUGUGACCUGUGAGUGUUAAUCACAUGGCGAUGUGAACUAGAUUAUUGACUCUAGUGCAAGUGGGAGACUGUUGGAAAUAUGCCCUAGAGGCAAUAAUAAAUUAGUUAUUAUUAUAUUUCCUUGUUCAUGAUAAUCGUUUAUUAUCCAUGCUAUAAUUGUAUUGAUAGGAAACUCAGAUACAUGUGUGGGUACAUAGACAACACCAUGUCCCUAGUAAGCCUCUAGUUGACUAGCUCGUUGAUCGAUAGAUGGUUACGGUUUCCUAACCAUGGACAUUGGAUGUCAUUGAUAACGGGAUCACAUCAUUACGAGAAUGAAGUGAUGGACAAGACCCAAUCCUAAGCCUAGCUCAAAGAUCGUAGUUCGUAUGCUAAAGCUUUUCUAAAUGUCAAGUAUCAUUUCCUUAGACCAUGAGAUUGUGCAACUCCCGGAUACCGUAGGAAUGCUUUGGGUGUACCAAACGUCACAACUUAACUGGGUGGCUAUAAAGGUGCACUACGGGUAUCUCCGAAAGUGUCUGUUGGGUUGGCACGAAUCGAGACUGGGAUUUGUCACUCCGUGUGACGGAGAGGUAUCUCUGGGACCACUCGGUAGGACAUCAUCAUAAUGUGCACAAUGUGACCAAGGAGUUGAUCACAGGAUGAUGUGUUACGGAACGAGUAAAGAGACUUGCCGGUAAUGAGAUUGAACAAGGUAUCAGCAUACCGACUAUCGAAUCUCGGGUAAGUAUAAUACCGUUGGACAAAGGAAAUUGCAUACGGGAUUGAUUGAGUCCUUGACAUCGUGGUUCAUCCAAUGAGAUCAUCGUGGAACAUGUAGGAGCCAACAUGGGUAUCCAGAUCCCGCUGUUGGUUAUUGGCCGGAGAGAUGUCUCAGUCAUGUCUACGUGUCUCCCGAACCUGUAGGGUCUACACUCUUAAGGUUCGAUGACGCUAGGGUUAUAAAGGAAGUUUGUAUGUGGUUACCAAAUGUUGUUCGGAGUCCCGGAUGAGAUCCCGGACGUCACGAGGAGUUCCGGAAUGGUCUGGAGCUAAAGAUUUAUAUAUGGGAAGUCCUGUUUUGGUCACCGGAAAAGUUUCGGGUUUUAUCGGUAACGUACCGGGACCACCGGGAGGGUCCCGGGGGUCCACCAAGUGGGGCUACCAUCCCCGGAGGGCUGCAUGGGCCAAGUGUGGGAGGGGACCAGCCCCAGGUGGGCUGGUGCGCCCCCCCCCCCCACCACGAGGGCCCUAGGCGCCUAGGGUUUGGGGAAGGGGGCGCACCCACCUAACUUGGGGGGCAAGUUUCCCCUCUUACCCCCCUUGGCCGCACCCUAGAUGGGUUUUGGGCUGGCCGCCGCCCCUAGGGGUGGAAGCCUAGGUGGGGGAGUAGCCCCCCCUCUCCCCCUAUAUAUAGUGGAGGCAUAGGAGCAGCCCAACACACAAGUUUCUUCUCUUGUUGGCGCAGCCCUACCUCUCUUUCUCCUCAUAUCUCGCGGUGCUUGGCGAAGCCCUGCUGGAUCAUCACGCACCUCCAUCUCCACCACGCCGUUGUGCUGCUGCUGGAUGGAGUCUUCCUCAACCUCUCCCUCUCUCCUUGCUGGAUCAAGGCAUGGGAUACGUCACCGGGUUGUACGUGUGUUGAACGCGGAGGUGCCGUCCGUUCGGCACUAGGAUCUCCGAUGAUUUGGAUCACGACGAGUACGACUCCUUCAACCCCGUUCUCUUGAAUGCUUCCGCUUAGCGAUCUACAAGGGUAUGUAGAUGCACUCUCCUUCCCCUCGUUGUUGGUUUCUCAAUAGAUAGAUCUUGGUGACACGUAGGAAUUUUUUUUAAAUUUCUGCUACGUUCCCCAACAGGGUGCACCAUGUUACCCAACAAGCUCAAUCACUCUGGACGGACACACCUUUCUGGGGUCAAUGCCCGCCCUCAGAAGCUCAACACGUCGCAGCCCUACCUAGGCUCAGCAGAGAAGUCCCCACCGGUCUACAUCCUAAGCACUCCGUGGUCUUGGGCCCAUCGCCCGCAGCACUCCGGGUCGUUGUCUGCAGGGUGGAUACCAGCACCGCCUCGGAUGGCCAGCACGAUCCGACCGUGCCACAAUGCUGAACUGGGCGUCUGACAAAGCUUCGGCUGAUACUGCGACAUCGAGGCCCAUAUCUAUUCUCGCGUGGUGGUUAGUGCGUAAAGGCCAUAGGCCAACUCAGAACAAAUACCCAAACCAUAGUGUAUUAUUAGUUUGCGGAGACGAGUAGAGACUCACGAUCGAAAGUGACCCCGUCGCCCUGUCUCGUGGACUUACGACAAGGGCCUAGAAUGCCCGGCCGUGCCACGUAACCAUCUUGCGGGUGCUCUCCGGGCCCACCCGACUUUCACCAAGGUCCCAAGUAAAGUCAAUUGUAACCGUGUGUCCAGACAUCAUGGGGAAAACCCGAGGAAUCACCCCCGGUGGAUUCCACUCAAUGUAAUCAUCGUGAACGUAAGAGGGACCACCCUAGAGGUUCACACUUGAGGUGUUGAACGACAAAGUCGUAUCGAGAAUGGUGAAAGAGGAAAUCAUCCUCGAUGGCCACGACCGAAUAGCUACACUACAGAAUUAUCAUCAGGAGUGCGUUAUGAGGGAUCACCCUCGGCACUCGAUAGUAGCUCUGCAGAGUCGAGCAACUAAAGGGGCGUGAUGUGAUGUGAGGUGUCGGGCUCUGGUCGUCGAUCACGUCGAUCGAGGCAUCGAUGAUGAAGCAGGGGCAACAAGGACAAGUGGGGGUCACUGAUGGAUCACUAGCCAACCUAUACUAAGCAGUUUAGGAUAAGCGGGUAGGUAACAAUAAGCAGGUACAAAAGCAGGCUAUGCAUCAGAAUAGGAGCAAACAACAACAGUAGCAAAAUAUAAUGCAAGCACGAGAGUAUAGAAUGGGAGAUAACGGGAUGAUCAAAGGGGGGGCUUGCCCGGUUGCUCAGACAAGAAGGAGGGUUGUCGGUGACGUAGUCGAUCACAGUGGCAUCAGCAGCGGUCUCGAGGUAUAGCGGAGAGAAGAGGGGGAAGAAAACUGUAAAUACAUAGCAAGCAAGAGCAUAAUAGGACAACAGGCAGAGCUAGACGUGUUCUAACAUGACGCUAAGAGAUACUGGCGAAGGGGGAAACAUCCGGGAAAGUAUUCCCGGUUCCCGACGUCUGUCAGACAGAUGAACCAGAGGGGAAAGGUUGCAUGUUUUCUAUGCCAGAGAUGUGUGGCGAGCGAACAUAUGGCGUAUUCGGAUUCGUCUCGUCGUUCUGAGCUACUUUCAUGUACAAAGUAUUUUAAUCCGAGCUACGGUUUAUUUUAUAUGAUUUUCUAAAGUCUAAACAAUAUUCUAAAAUUAUUUCUAAUUAUUAAAUUCGACAGAAAAGGAAUAAUGACGUCAACAUGAGGUCAGAGUGAUGUCAGCAGUCAACAGGGCAUUGAGUGGUCAAAACUGACGUGUGGAUCCCACUGUCAUAGACACAGUUUAGCUAAACAAUAUAAGACUAACUAAUCUAAUUAAUCAGGUUAUUAAGCAUGUUAAUUAAGUUAAUUAAUCAUAUUACUAAUUGAUUAUUUAUUUAUUUAUUUUAUUUUUUAUUUACUUUUUCGUUCCUUUUUUUUGUUUUACAGGGGCUAUUCCGCAUGUCAUAGGGUACAACUAAAACUAAGUCUAAUAUAAAUUAGUCUAACAAAGGGGCUUGUUUAACUAGGGAUUAGCCCUAAGCUAGCAAAGCGCCGGCCACACACGGCUGUGGCAAAAGGCAGCCAUACACAGAACACACAUACGCUGCACACACACCACACAGCACACUUGGCCAUGGCCGUGGCCAUUGCCAGUAGCAGCAGCAGCCGGUGGUAGUGGGCAGCAGUAGUACCAGCAACAGAGCAGCAUAGCAGCGGGCUAAGCACGAAGCAGCAGUUAUUGGGGAACGUAGUAAUUUCAAAAAUUUCCUAUGCACACGCAAGAUCAUGGUGAUGGCAUAGCAAUGAGAGGGGAGAGUGUUGUCCACGUACCCUCGUAGACCGUAAGCGGAAGCGUUAUGACAACGCGGUUGAUGUAGUCGUACGUCUUCACGAUCCGACCGAUCCAAGUACCGAACGUACGGCACCUCCGAGUUCAGCACAUGUUCAGCUCGAUGAUGAUCCCCGGACUCCGAUCCAGCAAAGUGUCGGGGAUGAGUUUCGUCAGCACGACGGCGUGGUGACGAUGAUGAUGCUCUACCGGCGCAGGGUUUCGCCUAAACUCCGCGACGAUAUGACCGAGGUGGAAUAUGCUGGAGGGGGGCACCGCACACGGCUAAGAAACGAUCCGUAGAUCAACUUGUGUUGUUGUGCCUAGAGGUGCCCCCCUGCCCCCGUAUAUAAAGGAGCAAGGGGGGAGGGGGCGGCCGGCCUAGGAGGGGCGCGCCAAGGGGAGUCCUACUCCCACCGGGAGUAGGGCUCCCUCCUUCCUUGUUUGAGUAGGAGAAGGGGGAAAGAGAGGGAGAGGAGGAAGGAAAAGGGGGCCGCACCCCUUGUUCAAUUCGGACCAGAGGGGGGCUGCGCGCCUCCUUCCUUUCGGCCUCUCUCCUCUAUUCCCGUAUGGCCCAAUAAGGCCCAUAUACUCCCCGGCGAAUUCCCGUAACUCUCCGGUACUCCGAAAAAUACCCGAAUCACUCGGAAUCUUUCCGAACUCCAAAUAUAGUCGUCCAAUAUGUCGAUCUUUACGUCUCGACCAUUUCGAGACUCCUCAUCAUGUCCCCGAUCUCAUCCGGGACUCCGAACUCCUUCGGUACAUCAAAACUCAUAAACUCAUAAUAAAACUGUCAUCGAAACCUUAAGAGUGCGGACCCUACGGGUUCGAGAACUAUGUAGACAUGACCUAGAACUAUUCUUGGUCAAUAACCAAUAGCGGAACAUGAAUGCUCAUAUUGGCUCCUACAUAUUCUACGAAGAUCUUUAUCGGUCAAACCGCACAACAACAUACGUUGUUCCCUUUGUCAUCGGUAUGUUACUUGCCCGAGAUUCGAUCGUCGGUAUCCAAUACCUAGUUCAAUCUCGUUACCGGCAAGUCUCUUUACUCGUUACGUAAUGCAUCAUCCCGCAACUAACUCAUUAGUCACAUUGCUUGCAAGGCUUAUAGUGAUGUGCAUUACCGAGAGGGUCCAGAGAUACCUCUCCGACAAUCGGAGUGACAAAACCUAAUCUCGAAAUACGCCAACCCAACAUGUACCUUUGGAGACACCUGUAGUACUCCUUUAUAAUCACCCAGUUACAUUGUGACGUUUGGUAGCACCCAAAGUGUUCCUCCGGUAAAUGGGAGUUGCAUAAUCUCAUAGUUACAGGAACAUGUAUAAGUCAUGAAGAAAGCAAUAGCAACAUACUAAACGAUCAAGUGCUAGGCUAACGGAAUGGGUCAUGUCAAUCACAUCAUUCUCCUAAUGAUGUGAUCCCAUUAAUCAAAUGACAACACAUGUCUAUGGUUAGGAAACAUAACCAUCUUUGAUUAAUGAGCUAGUCAAGUAGAGGCAUACUAGUGACUAUAUGUUUGUCUAUGUAUUCACACAUGUAUCAUGUUUCUGGUUAAUACAAUUCUAGCAUGAAUAAUAAACAUUCAUCAUGAAAUAAGGAAAUAAAUAAUAACUUUAUUAUUGCCUCUAGGGCAUAUUUCCUUCAGUCUCCCACUUGCACUAGAGUCAAUAAUCUAGUUCACAUUGCUAUGUGAUUUAACACCAAUAUUCACAUCUGCAUGUGAUUAAUACCCAUAGUUCACAUCAUCAUGUGAUCAACACCCAAAGGGUUUACUAGCGUCAAUAAUCUAGUUCACAUCGCUAUGUGAUUAACACCCAAAAGAGUACUAAGGUAUGAUCAUGUUUUGCUCAUGAGAGAAGCUUAGUCAACGGGUCUGUCAUAUUCAGAGUCGUAUGUAUUUCGCAAAUAUUCUAUGUCCACAAUGCUUUGCGCGGAGCUACUCUAGCUAAUUGCUCCCACUUUCAAUAUGUAUCCAGAUUGAGACUUAGAGUCAUCCGGAUUGGUGUAAAAGCUUGCAUCAUUGUAACUUUAACGACGGGCUCUUUUAUCACCUCCAUAAUCGAGAAACAUCUCCUUAGUCCUCAUUAAGGAUAUUCUUGACCCAUGUCCAGUGAUCUACUUAUUAGAUCAAAAUUGUAUUCCUUUGCCAAACAUAGAGCAAUGUAUACAAUAGGUCUGGUUCACAGCAUAGCAUACUUUAUAGAACCUAUGACUGAGGCAUAGGGAAUGACUUUUCAUUCUCUUUCUAUUUUCUGCAAUGGUCGGGUCUUGAGUCUUACUCAACUUCACACCUUGUAACACAGGCAAGAACUCCUUCUUUGAUUGUUCCAUUUUGAACUAUUUCAAAAAUUUAUCAAGGUAUGUACUCAUUGAAAAAUCUUAUCAAGCGUCUUGAUCUAUCUAUAUAGAUCUUGAUGCUCAAUGUGUAAGCAGCUUCACUGAGGUCUUGCUUUGAAAAAUUCUUAUUCAAGUAUCCUUUCAUGCUAUCUAGAAUAUCAUUUCCAAUUAACAAUAUGUCAUCCACAUAUAAUAUUAGAAAUGCUACAGAGCUCCCACUCACUUUCUUGUAAAUACAGGCUUCUUCAAAAGUCUGUAUAAAACCAUAUGCUUUGAUCAACUCAUCAAAGCAUAUAUUCCAACUCCGAGAUGCUUGCACCAGUCCAUAGAUGGAUCGCUGGAGCUUGCACAAUUUGUUAGCACCUUUAGGAUUGACAAAACCUUCUGGUUGCAUCAUAGACAACUCUUCUUUAAGAAAACCAUUAAGGAAUGCAGUUUUGUUUAUCCAUUUGCCAGAUUUCAUAAAAUGCGGCAAUUGCUAACAUGAUUCAGACAGACUUAAGCAUAGAUACGAGUGAAAAACUCUCAUCGUAGUCAACACCUUGAACUUGUCGAAAACCUUUUGCGACAAUUCUAGCUUUGUAGAUAGUAACACUAUCAGCGUCCGUCUUCCUCUUGAAGAUCCAUUUAAUCUCAAUGUCUCGCUGAUCAUUGGGCAAGUCAAUCAAAGUCCAUACUUUGUUUUCAUACAUGGAUCUUAUCUCAGAUCUCAUGGCCUCAAGCCAUUUUGCGGAAUCUGGGCUCACUAUCGCUUCUUCAUAGUUCGUAGGUUCGUCAUGGUCUAGUAACAUAACUUCCAGAACAGGAUUACCGUACCACUCUGGUGCGGAUCUUACUCUGUAAGACCUACGAGGUUCUGUAGUAACUUAAUCUGAAGUUUCAUGAUCAUCAUCAUUAACUUCCUCACUAAUUGGUGUAGUAGUCACAGGAACAGAUUUCUGUGAUGAACUACUUUCAAAUGAGGGAGCAGGUACAGUUACCUCAUCAAGUUCUACUUUCCUCCCACUCACUUCUUUCAAGAGAAACUCCUUCUCUAGAAAGGAUCCAUUCUUAGCAACGAAUGUUUUUCCUUUGGAUUUGUGAUAGAAGGAGUACCCAACAGUUUCCUUUGGGUAUUCUAUGAAGACGCACUUCUCCAAUUUGGGUUCGAGCUUAUCAGGUUGAAAACCUUUUUCAUAUAAGCAUCUCAACUCCAAACUUUAAGAAAUGAUAGCUUAGGUUUACUUCUAAACCAUAGUUCAUACGAUGUCGUCUCAACGGAUUUAGAUGGUGCCCUUUUAACGUGAAUGCAGCUGUCUCUAAUGCAUAACCCCAAAACAAUAAUAGUAAAUCAGUAAGAGACAUCAUUGAUCGCACCAUAUCCAAUAAAGUGUGGUUACGACGUUCGGACACACCAUAACAUUGUGGUGUUCCAGGUGGCGUGAGCUGUGAAACUAUUCCACAUUGUUUUUAAUUAAAGACCAAACUCGUAACUCAAAUAUUCAUCUCAACGAUCAGAUCGCAGAAACUUUAUUUUCUUGUUACGAUGAUUUUUCCACUUCACUCUGAAAUUCUUUGAACCUUUCAACUAUUUCAGACUUAUGUUUCAUCAAGUAGAUAUACCCAUAUCUGCUCAAAUCAUCUUGUGAAGGUCAGGCAAUAACGAUACUUGCCACGAGCAUCAACACUCCUUGGAUCGCAUACAUCGGUAUGUAUUAUUUCCAAUAAGUCAGUAGCUUGUUCCAUUGUUCCGAAGAACGGAGUUUUAGUCAUCUUGCCCAAAAGGCACGGUUCGCAAGCAUCAAAUGAUUCAUAACCAAGUGAUUCCGAAAAUCCAUCCUUAUGGAGUUUCUUCAUGCGCUUUACGCCGAUAUGACCCAAACGGCAGUGCCACAAAUAAGUUGCACUAUCAUUAUUAACUUUGCAUCUUUUGGCAUCAAUAUUAUGAAUAUGUGUAUCACUAUGAUCGAGAUCCAACAAACUAUUUUCAUUGGGUGUAUAACCAUCGAAGGUCUUAUUCAUGUAAACAGAAUAACAAUUAUUCUCUAACUUUAAAUGAAUAACCGUAUGGCAAUAAACAUGAUCAAAUCAUGUUCAUGCUCAACGCAAAUGCCAAAUAACAUUUAUUUAGGUUUAACACUAAUCCCAAAAGUAUAGGGAGUGUGCGAUGAUAAUCAUAUCAAUCUUGGAACUACUUCCAACACUCAUCGUCACUUCCCCUUCAACUAGUCUCUGUUUAUUCUGUAACUCCUGUUUCGAGUUACUAAUCUUAGUAACCGAACAAGUAUCAAAUACUCAGGGGCUACUAUAAACACUAGUAAGGCACACAUCAAUAACAUGUAUAUCAAAUAUACCCUUGUUUACUUUGCCAUCCUUCUUAUCCACCAAAUAUUUGCAGUAGUUCCACUUCCAGUGACCAUUUCCUUUGCAGUAGAAGCACUCAGUUUCAGGCUUAGGUCCAGCUUUGGGCUUCUUCACGGGAGUGACAACUUGUUUGCCAUUCUACUUGAAGUUUCCCUUUCUUUCCCUUUUCCCUUUUCUUGGAACUAGUGGUCUUGUCAAUCAUCAACACUUGAUGCUCUUUCUUGAUUUCUACCUUCGUCGAUUUCAACAUCACGAAGAGCUCGGGAAUUGUUUUCGUCAUCCCUUGCAUACUAUAGUUCAUCACGAAGUUCUAGUAACUUAGUGAUGGUGACUAGAGAAUUCUGUCAAUCACUAUCUUAUAUGCAAGAUUAACUCCCACUUGAUUCAAGUGAUUGAAGUACCCAGACAAUCUGAGCACAUGCUUACUAGUUGAGCGAUUCUCCUGCAUCUUUUAGCUAUAGAACUUGUUGGAGACUUCAUAUAUCUCAACUCGGGUAUUUGCUUCAAAUAUUAAUUUCAAUUCCUGGAACAUCUCAUAUGGUCCAUGACGUUCAAAACAUCUUUGAAGUCCCGAUUCUAAGCCGUUAAGCAUGGUGCACUAAACUAUCAAGUAGUCAUCAUAUUGAGCUAGCCAAACGUUCAUAAGGUCUGUGUCUGCUCCUGCAAUAGGUCUGUCACCUAGCGGUGCAUUAAGGACAUAAUUCUUCUGUGCAGCAAUGAGGAUAAACCUCAGAUCACGGAUCCAAUCCGCAUAUUGCUACUAACAUCUUUCAACACAAUUUCCUCUAGGAACAUAUCAAAAUAAACAUAUGAAAGCAACAACGCAAGCUAUUAAUCUACAACAUAAUUUGCAAAAUACUACUAGGACUAAGUUCAUGAUAAAUUUAAGUUCAAUUAAUCAUAUUACUUAAGAACUCCCACUUAUAAAGACAUCUCUCUAAUCCUCUAAGUGAUUACGUGAUCCAUAUCAACUACACCAUGUCCGAUCAUCACGUGAGAUGGAGUAGUUUCAACGGUGAACAUCAAUAUGUUGAUCAUAUCUACUAUAUGAUUCACACACGACCUUUCAGUCUCCGUGUUCCGAGGCCAUAUUUGUAUAUGCUAGGCUCGUCAAGUUUAACCUGAGUAUUCCGUGUGUGCAACUGUUUUGCACUCGUUGUAUUUGAACGUAGAGCCUAUCACACCCGAUCAUCACGUGGUGUCUCAGCACGAAGAACUUUCGCAACGGUGCAUACUCAGGGAGAACACUUCUUGAUAAUUAGUGAGAGAUCAUCUUAAAAUGCUACCGUCAAACAAAACAGAAUAAGAUGUAUAACAGAUAAACAUCAUAUGCAAUCAAAAUAUGUGACAUGAUAUGGCCAUGAUCAUCUUGCGCCUUUGAUCUCCAUCUCCAAAGUACUGUCGUGAUCUCUAUCGUUACCGGCAUGACACCAUGAUCUUCAUCAUCUUGAUCUAUAUCAAUGUGUCAUCACAUGGUCGUCCCGCCAACUAUUGCUCUUGAAACUAUUGCUAUCGCAUAGCGAUAAAGUAAAGCAAUUAUUUGGCACUUGCAUCUUUUGCAACAAAGAGACAACCAUAGGGCUUCUGCCAGUUGCCGAUAACUUCAACAAAACAUGAUCAUCUCAUACAACAACUUAUAUCUCAUCACGUCUUGACCAUAUCACAUCACAACAUGCCCUGCAAAAACAAGUUAGAUGUCCUCUACUUUGUUGUUGCAAAUUUUACGUGGCUGCUACGGGCUGAGCGAGAACCGUUCUUACCUACGCAUCAAAACCACAACGAUAGUUCGUCAAGUUAGUGUUGUUUUAACCUUCGCAAGGACCGGGCGUAGCCACACUCGAUUCAGCUAAAGUGAGAGAGACAGACACCCGCCAGCCACCUUUAAGCACAAGUGCUCGUAACGGUGAAACCAGUCUCGCGUAAGCAUACGCGUAAUGUCGGUCCGGGCCGCUUCAUCUCACAAUACCGCCGAACCAAAGUAUGACAUGCUGGUAAGCAGUAUGACUUGUAUCGCCCACAACUCACUUGUGUUCUACUCAUGCAUAUAACAUCAACGCAUAAAACCUGGCUCUGAUACCACUGUUGGGGAACGAAGUAAUUUCAAAAAUUUCCUACGCACAUGCAAGAUCAUGGUGAUGGCUUAGCAACGAGAGGGGACAGUUUUGUCCACGUACCCUCGUAGACCAUAAGCGGAAGCGUUAUGACAAUGCGGUUAAUGUAGUCGUACGUCUUCACGAUCCGACCGAUCCAAGUACCGAACGUACGGCACCUCCGAGUUCAGCACACGUUCAGCUCGAUGAUGAUCCCCGGACUCCGAUCCAGCAAAGUGUCUGGGAUGAGUUCCGUCAGCACGACGGCAUGGUGAUGAUGAUGAUGCUCUACCGGCGCAGGGCUUCGCCUAAACUCCGCGACGAUAUGACCGAGGUGGAAUAUGGUGGAGGGGGGCACCGCACACGGCUAAGGAAUGAUCCGUAGAUCAACUUGUGUUGUUGUGCCCAGAGGUGCCCCCCUGCCCCCGUAUAUAAAGGAGCAAGGGGGAGGGGCCGGCCGGCCUAGGAGGGGCGCGCCAAGGGGAGUCCUACUCCCACCGGGAGUAGGACUCCCUCCUUCCUUGUUGGAGUAGGAGAAGGGGGAAAGAGGGGCAGAGGAGGAAGGAAAAGGGGGCCGGACCCCUUGUCCAAUUCGGACCAGAGGGGGGUUGCGCGCCUCCUUCCUUUCGGCCUCUCUCCUCUAUUCCCGUAUGGCCCAAUAAGGCCCAUAUACUCCCCGGCGAAUUCCCGUAACUCUCCGGUACUCCAAAAAAAUACCCGAAUCACUCGGAACCUUUCCAAACUCCGAAUAUAGUCAUCCAAUAUAUCGAUCUUUACGUCUCGAGCAUUUCGAGACUCCUCGUCAUGUCCCCGAUCUCAUCCGGGACUCCGAACUCCUUCGGUACAUCAAAACUCAUAAACUCAUAAUAAAACUGUCAUCGAAACCUUAAGCGUGCGGACCCUACGGGUUCGAGAACUAUGUAUGUAGACAUGACCUAGAACUAUUCUUGGUCAAUAACUAAUAGCGGAACCUAGAUGCUCAUAUUGGCUCCUACAUAUUCUACGAAGAUCUUUAUCGGUCAAACCGCACAACAACAUACGUUGUUCCCUUUGUCAUCGGUAUGUUACUUGCCCGAGAUUCGAUCGUCGGUAUCCAAUACCUAGUUCAAUCUCGUUACCGGCAAGUCUCUUUACUCGUUGAGUAAUGCAUCAUCCCGCAACUAACUCAUUAAUCACAUUGCUUGCAAGGCUUAUAGUGAUGUGCAUUACCGAGAGGGCCUAGAGAUACCUCUCCGAUAAUCGGAGUGACAAAACCUAAUCUCGAAAUACGCCAACCCAACAUGUACCUUUGGAGACACCUGUAGUACUCCUUUAUAAUCACCCAGUUACGUUGUGACGUUUGGUAGCACCCAAAGUAUUCCUCCGGUAAACGGGAGUUGCAUAAUCUCAUAGUUACAGGAACAUGUAUAAGUCAUGAAGAAAGCAAUAGCAACAUACUAAACGAUCAAGUGCUAGGCUAACGGAAUGGGUCAUGUCAAUCACAUCAUUCUCCUAAUGAUGUGAUCCCAUUAAUCAAAUGACAACACAUGUCUAUGGUUAGGAAACAUAACCAUCUUUGAUUAAUGAGCUAGUCAAGUAGAGGCAUACUAGUGACUAUAUGUUUGUCUAUGUAUUCACACAUGUAUCAUGUUUCCGGUUAAUACAAUUCUAGCAUGAAUAAUAAACAUUUAUCAUGAAAUAAGGAAAUAAAUAAUAACUUUAUUAUUGCCUCUAGGGCAUAUUUCCUUCAGCAGUAACAGCAAGUAGCAGAUACAACAGUAAUAAACAGCAGCAGAGAGCAGCGGCACAAGCAGUUCAGCGUAGCAGGCAGCGGCGAAAAGUAGCAGUUAGCAAGCGCAAUGCACGACGAUGGGAGUGGCGGGGUGCGACCAGGGGACGGCCGGUGCGCGGCCUGUCGCGACCAGGGUGCACGUACCGGGCGCCGUGGCGCGAGGCUGCUCGGACCGCGGCCAACGGCCGAAGCUUGGGCGACACGGGCAUGGCCGAGCGCGAGGCUGCGGCGCAGCCGAUGCCGAGAAGCAGCAGCAAGGCAAGCACGCAGAGCAGAGGGCACGAUCCCGCGCAUGGGCGAGGGCACAGACUUGGGCGCCAGGGACGCGGGGGAAGGCACGGCCACGACGAGCUCGUAGUCAUGGCGGACGACGGUUUCGGCCACGGACAGGAGGGGUGGUGAGGGCGACAGUGGCGGGCGUGCCUCGGCUCUAAUGGCGAUGGGGGCUUCGGGCACGGGAUACACGGAGGAAAAUGAAGGGGAAUCGACCACAAGCUCACUAGAGGAGCACAUGGAGGCUUGGAGUUUGCUUAGGAGCAGUAGAGCGACGGCAAUCGUCGGAGAAGCUCGUUAGAGUCGAAGGUGAAGAAGAGGUCGCAGUGCUCGCUGCAGAAGGGUCCCUACAUGAUCCAGUGGGCGAGGAGGAUGGAGCAGUCGACGGUGGUGCCCUCAGACUCGGUCUUAUGGCGCGGGGACGAUGGUGGCCGCGGGAUCGACGAAGGCGACGACGAUGGAGGCGUCGGGUAGAUGUGGGGGGAGUGCAGGAGUGGGGAAAAUAUCUGGUGGGGGGAGCUGACGAAGAUGAGGGGACUCUACCUUAUCCCCUCGGCACGGCAGCGAUGCGGGGGCGGCGAGGACAGCGGGCGCGCCUGGGUCGGCUUCCCCUGUAGCAAGGUGGAAGGCGACCGAAGGGGAGUUGGGUCGGGCUGGCUCGGUGAGAUGGGCCAAGGCCCGGGGGUCAGGGGAGGCCUUUCUUUCUCUUUUGCUUUGGUUUAUUUUCUUUAAUUUAUUUACAGUAUUUUUUAAUAGCAAUUAGUUUCAUAAAAUAUAGGGACAAUACCUAAAUUGGUGUUACUAAUUAUACCAAUGUCACAAUUAGUUUGAGGUCCGAAUAACAUAGUUUAGUAUUUUUAUAAUUUAAAAAGCAUUUAAUAUUUUGUUUUAGCCAAUGUUAUAUUCACAAAAGGGCAUUUAAAUAUUUUACAAAUGUGUUGGGUCAACACCAUAAUUAGUUAUGGAGUAUUUGCCACAUUUGAACAUUUUAUUUUAGACAUUUGAAAACUUUUGAGUUUGACUCAAUUUUGAAUUUGAAAUUUGAACCGGUUUCGAACCAACGCGAGUUUAUCAAUAGUAACCGUGGUGACGUGGCCUCAUUAGAAGAGGGUUACUGCAGCUUAAUUAUCUGGGCGUCACAAUUCUCCUCCACUACAAGAAAUCUCGUCCCGAGAUUUAAGGGGUGGAGUAAGGGGAAAGGACUCGGGAAGGAUGGAGCUCAACACAAAAUAGGUACCUGGGGGCUAUCUCGCGAACGUGGUAUAAAGGCAUCUCCCGAGUUGAAAUUCAAGAAGUCAUCGAGAGCAAGGUAAGGAGGAGCAAUAAGAAGCUUCAAGCGAGUAGGCAACCAUACGUUACCUGAAAUAGAGGGUGAAAGGGGUUCAGAGCAAUGGGAAUAAGUAUCGCGUCUGAUAGCAGAAUAGAUCACUAGGAAGGUGGCUCGUGAUUUACAUACAAAGCCAAGUGCAAAGAAUAUUUUGGAGUCAAGGUUUUACACGAGAGUCAGGUUUCGAUCCUGUGGAACUGUGGGUUAUGGGCCCACCAUGUGGGUUAAAAGCAAGAAGGGUGCUAACAUUUUGUAUGGUCAUGAUAGCAAGGCAGGUUAGAGGACAACCUGUCAGUUAUGUUGGCAACAAUUUUGGUACCAAGGGCGAGGAACAAAGAGAACCAUUUUCCUACUCGUUAAGACGAGGCGGGUCAAUAGGCAAUGUUCUCGUCCAUCGGUGGCUACCGGAAUGUCAUCAACAAUAGUAACAAGGUCUUACUGACAGAGUUUGUACACUUAGGGGUAUACAUAAGCAGGGAUUUAUCACUACUCAAAUAUGUUAGGUUACAAGAAAGUUAAUCAGAACAGUGGAGAGAAAAGUGUAGACUCGAAUCAGUUAUCGGUGUUCUCGAGUGUCUAACAACUCAGAACCCAUGGAAAAUUUGAAUUGGCGAGAAAUAAUAGUUGAUGAAGAACUCAUAAGAAGUUAUGUAGUUCCGUGAUAUUCUCGAGAUACCAAAGGGUAAUACUCGAAGGUAGUUCAAAGUAGAGGUUGGACAAGGGAAACGAUCUAAAGAAGACAAGUACUUUAACUUGUCCGAGAAAUGGAAUCAAAGGAGAACAAUCACAGUCGGAACCACAGUUGCAAAGAACUAAAUAUAGAUACAAGAUAAAUUUAUCACAAGAGGAUUAUUAUUAUAAGAAAAAGCUUCCAUGAUAGGAUGUACAUCGUGUCCAUGGGCAUGAACACAAAGUUCAAGGUCGACUCCCACUUCUUCAAUGCAUAACCUUUCAUUCACUUCUCGCUUUCGGUGAAUUUGUAGUGUUGAUAUUUUAUCUGGCAACACAUCAGAAGAGUAAGACUCAUGAAGACUCUCGGGUUCAAAAAGAUUAGGGAGGCGUAGGUUCAACCCAUAGGGGCAUCUUAGGAACCUAUACCACAAACUUCAUGAGUAAAUAACUCAAGCCCAGAAGCGGAGUAUGGUUGACAAGAGCGAGGGAUACCAUUUACCAAAGGUUACUCAAUAUGAAGGACAUUGUCGGAUAAAAUCCACAAAGGAUCUGGUGGUCCACAAGGGAUCUGAUGUGAGUAUCGGUACUCACCCAGAAGAAGAUAGAAUGCAAGGAUAUCAGAUUAUAGAAACAACUAACUAAUUCAAAGCUUAACUGUAAAGGAAUUAUGAUUUCCAAGACGGUGGAUCAAAAGUAGAGGCUCUGAUCAAAGAUGAAUAAGUUGAAUAGACAUAGAUCGACAAUCAAACAAGGUUUGAUUUGUCGAACACCAGCUCAUGUCCAGAGUGACGUCUGAGCCAAGGGAAGAAUUCUAAUUAGGACUGAUGAUCGUUAGCAUUCACAAACUUAGCGAAUCAAAUGCUUGAAAUUACAAUGACAAAGGAUGCUAAUGAGUAUUGCUGGACAUAUGGAAGUAACCAUAAUGCAAGCAGAUAAGGAGGAACAAGAGUAAUAGGCCACUGAGCAUUUUCGGAAGAUCAAAUAGUUUUUUUGGGCAUCUUCUUAUAACAAGAGCAAUUGGGGAUGAAGGUAUGAACGGAAAUGUAGGAAUUUACCCAUAAGGAUUUAUCGGUGGUAGGGAUCGCAACGACAAAGGGCACAAGGGUCUCGAGAAAACAUCGGAGAGUAUCUUCAGAAUCUUCUGGUGAAGCGGGCCACUACAAGAAAUAUGUCAACUCGUGACCACCACUAUUGGUCACUGAAAGGUCAUGGUUUUUCAUUUGCGACCUUUUUGUGACCAAAAACAGAAGGUCAAAAGCUGAGGGUCGUAAACUGACUAUAGCGACCUUCUCUGUGAGAAGGUCGUAGACGUUUACGACCAAAAUAUACCUACUGUGGCGUUUUGGUCACUAGCAACCUCCCCAGGCCACGUAGGCAUCCAGCAUGGCAAGCUGAUGUGGCACAAGAUUCAGCCCAGUCCAAUUCGGUUUUCUACAUGGGCCGAGCCCAACAAUUCGGCCUAUUCGUGUUUUUUUCUCAUAUUAAUUUUGAUUAGGUAGAUGGGCCAAGCCCAACAUUUCAGCCUCGUUAUUUUUGGGCCUAGGCCUUUUUAUUUUCUUGGCCUUCACCUUUUCACAAUUGAUUUUUAAGCGAUUUUUGUUCAUUUUUUCUCAAUUGUUUGAUUUGUGGCCUUUUUAGGGCCCAAAUAGUAUUUGCUUCAUUUCUGAUGUAUCAGCAAUUAAGGAUCAGCACCUCAAAAAAACAAUAAAUGAUCAAUAUUUCCAAUAUUUCAACCACACAAAUUUUCACAAAUGACGUCCAAAACGAGUAUAUUAUAUAUAUUACAAUCAUGCGGUAGUCCACAUCGUCCAGGAAUUUAGAACACCCAGGAACAUCCAGGAAUAUCUAUGAAGUAAACAAACACCCAGGAACACCCAGGAACAUCUAUGAAGUAAACACCCAGGAACAUAAAACUAGCUACAAAGAUGAAGUGUUCCCUUCUUCGAACUUCUUCAACCCAGAGCUCCUGUAGAAGAGAGGAAAUUAUCAUUAUCAUGGCUGUCAAUGAAAGCAAUAUCUUCCAACAAAGAACAACUAGGAAAAGAAUAGUGAACAGAAUAAUAAACAGAUACACAAGCAUGAGGGCAUGGAUAACAGUAGAAACACUAACGUAAGCAGCAAAUUGAAUACCAAUCAUUAAUAUACUGUUGCUGAGGCAUUAGUAUAAUGAACAGAAAAAUAAAUAGAUCUUGAAGCAUUAGUAUACUGCUGCUGAGGCCAAAACCAAACAAAUGCAAUGGCAACACUAACGUAAGCAGGAAAGCAGCAAAGUAGAUGUGCCCACUAUCCGUCUAAGCAAACACAGAAGUGCAAUGCUAGAGAUACAUGUAUGCACCAAGAAAAACUGGCAAUGUGAACAAUAACUCUGGGAGUAAAAAGAACAUAAAUAAUACAACAAUCUCUAAACACCUAGGUAGUAACUAGAAUGGUUGCUUGAUGUUCAUAGUAACUAGAAUAGUUACAAACACGGGACAGUGUGCAUGCAUGAGCAGGUGCAGGACCGAAUGAACCAUGGCAGCAGCAGCAGUGAUUAUGGGUGUUGAAGGGAAGGCAGAGUGGGCAGCAGCAGUGAUUACCAGGAAGUUGUGGUAGACGAACGCCCUGGGCUCCCACGAGAUGACCUCCAUCCACUAUGCACCGCGCUUGCCCAGCCCCUCGUUGCACCCACCCACGAGAAUAUGGUAUGCAAGAUGCCUGCAACACAUUCAUACAUGACAAUCAUUAGGAACACAGUAAAGAGAACUACACUAAAAAGAAAAGCAGACACGUUUGUUAUAACUGGUCCGUUCGAAGACUAAUGGUAGAAAGGAAUGCAAGCAAUUGCUUCAGUUUUUCUUUUCGCACAAGUGCAAAUGUCAACAUGAAACAAGGAGCUCAAGGAAUCAAUCCCCAACACAUCAGUACAACAGUUGCAACUAAUCAGACCACAUCAUAAAUAACGGGCCACGAUAUACUAGUAAAUUGAACUACUACUGCUACUGCUCAGUACAUCAGUAUCAAAGAGUGGAUUUCGGCUACCAUAUAUACAUGUACUAAUAAACUACUGUACUAGUAAAAGAGGGAACACAAAAGGCAAAAAUUGGAAUAGCAGAGAAGAAGCAUGGAAGAGGGACAAUUAAUCUCUUGGCUAACCGCUAACAGCUAAAAUCCUCUGGGCUAUGAACUUCAACCAGGACAGUUAAUCUCUUGGCUAACUGCUAACAACAAAGAAGUGCCCAUACAGCCAAUUUACUUCCCUAUAAUGAUUAUAAGAACUAGAAAUAAAAGAUAUAUCAUAGUACUGAACAGUUGAGCAGUUGCAGAUCCAUCUAAUCAUGUGGAAAGUCAGUGAGCAGUUGCAGAUCCACCAUUGCCACCAUCUAGUCACGAGGAUUGGAGUCCUCCCCAGUCUUGACACUGAGCUUUUGCUUCCCUGUGACCUGCAGAUAGGUCACCAACAUAAACCAUUUGAAAUGAUUAAACAAGUGCACUGGAAGCAGUUUAGAUCAGCAUACAAACAUAACACUACAUCUCUGUUUCUAAACUGGAGAGCCAAGAGAAGAACUAUAACAGAUGUAGUUCUCUGCCUCAACAUGCUGUAAUAAUAUUAUCUCUGUUGAUCCAUGUCCAUCUGGGUUAAUAUGAAAUGUAAAAAAAUUGAAUGAGCCAAAUUGGUACAUCAUUACAAAUGAUUACUUGCUAAGAGAAACAAGUCAGAAAACAAAGCUGCAUAUAACCACCUAAAUAUUAUGGUCAAGUACUAAUUAUCAAACUGGCAUAUCCACUUGUCUGCUACUCCCUAUGUAAUCAAAUGCAAGACAUUUUAGGUCACUUCACAGAUUUAGUAGUUUGUAAGUAGAAGAAUAGAAAUUUGAAGAAAAAAAUGGUGGAGCCACACUGAGAUCACGGGACAUAACAGGUGUUCAAAUCAAUGGAAAGCAAAUGUAUUUUGGAGAUGGAACCAUCCCUCUCUCAGAAUAAUCAGAGCCCAAAAUUCCACAUGCUGAUCGAUUAAUAUGCCAAACAGGGGGAUCGGCUGAGGGGCUCACCGCGGUGCGGAUGAUGAGCUCGGGGAGGCCGGAGACGUCGGAGCAGCGAGGGCAACGCAGAUUGACGGGGGAAGGCGCGCGGCGGCUGACAGGGAAGAAGCUCGGAUCCGGCGAUGUGAGGGCACCCAGCUUGAACUGGUGGCCGUAGUCGAUGCAGAGGGGAGCUGCGGAGCUCGUGGACACCUUCCCAUGUCGCGGAUCCGGCGAUGUGGUGGGUGAGGAGGUGCGGAUUGACGAGAUCCACCCGUCAUCAUCACCCUUCUCGAGGUUCUUGACGCUUGGGUGAUGCGGAUGCGGUGCUGCGCCUCCUGCGGGUGACGCGGAUGCGGUGCUGCGCCUCCUGCGGGCCCUCGAAGCCGGCCUUUCCGGCCUUCAUCGGCGACGGGCCCUUGGAGGGGAGGGGACCUCUAGCCAGGGAGGGGAGGGGAGGGGAGGUGGCGCCGGCGGCGAAGUGGAUGCGGUCGCCAGCAGGAGGAGGUGGCCGUGGAGGAGGUCGUCGCCGCGGUCGAAUGGAUCUAGGAUGUAGGGAGAGGGGAGAAGGNNNNNNNNNNNNNNNNNNNNNNNNNNNNNNNNNNNNNNNNNNNNNNNNNNNNNNNNNNNNNNNNNNNNNNNNNNNNNNNNNNNNNNNNNNNNNNNNNNNNNNNNNNNNNNNNNNNNNNNNNNNNNNNNNNNNNNNNNNNNNNNNNNNNNNNNNNNNNNNNNNNNNNNNNNNNNNNNNNNNNNNNNNNNNNNNNNNNNNNNNNNNNNNNNNNNNNNNNNNNNNNNNNNNNNNNNNNNNNNNNNNNNNNNNNNNNNNNNNNNNNUGGGGGCGGCGGUAGAUCGAGAUCGGGGAGGGGGCGGUGGCAGAUCGAGAUCGGGGAGGGGGCAGCGGCGAGGAGAUGGGGACGAGGGAGGAAGGGGGCGACGGGGGGAUCUGAGCUAGGGUUUGGCCUGCGGGUGGGGGUAUCUCCUUUUCUUUUUUUUGUAGAUAGAUGGAUGGAUGGAUGUGGGAUGGAGAUAUGGAUAGAUGGAUGGAUGGACGCCAUGUCAUCGAUCCCUGGACAGAGUUACGAUUGGUUCAGAAAAUCAGUGAUGUAAAAUAGUUUUCAAAUACUAAAAAUAGAGGGAUUUUAUGAAGUAGCUAUUAAAAAUAUUUUGCAAAAGGGCACCACACAAACUUUCACUAGAGUUAGACCACAUUUUAUGGAUUAGGACUAGUUUGUAUGCAUUUUUCAUAUUUCUAGCUAUUUUUAAUCAUUUUUUGAGUGGCAAAAAUGUUUUUUUUGUGAAGAACCAACCAAAUAAUUGUUGCAAAAUUGGACCUAAUCAAUUUUAUAAAAUACUAUGCCAUAUUUAAUGCACAAUUGACCAAAUGGUUUGGUGUAAAAAGUUUUGAUCCACCUCUCAUCAAAAAAACAAAUUUCCGCCGAUUCAGUUGGAAGCGUGUCAAAUUUGAACUGCAGCUGCCUCAUAGUUUGCUAUUUAUUUUUUCCAAAAAUCAUUUCUAGUUACAUAAGUAUCAAUUUAAUCAGAGAAACACCAAAAAAAUUCCAAGAUUCAACCACUAGCUAGGAACGGUCAUUCCCGCCAUUUUGACCGCAUUUUGAAAUGGGCAUAAAAAAUUAAAAAAUCAAAAAAUUGGAAAACCUUCGCAUUGUGUCAUUAUAUGUCGACAAGUUCCUAGGAAAAAUAACAAACUUCUAAUACGGCAAUUAUUUUAAAAAAGUGUUCUCAGAAAUGAGCUAUCAUCUCUCAAGAUUCAUGGCUUUCAAGCCAAAUGAUCAAUCUUAUGGCCACAUUCGUGGCAUAGUUUGUUCAAAUGAUCUCAUAUUGUGCACAAGGGUGCAUAUUGGAAUGGCAAACAAUGUUGCCUAAGGAAGUUUUCAUUUUCUUUGGACAAAAAAACCAUUUUUCAUUUUCCGAGUGCCCAAAAGGAGGUUAUUUUGUGAAGGACCUCCCAAAUAAUUGUUGCAAAAUUGGACCAAAUCAAUUUUCUAAAAUACUAGGACAUAUUUAAUGCACAAUUGGCAAAAUGGUUGGGUGCAAAAAGUUUUGAUCCACCUCUCGUGAAAAAGACAAAUUUCUGACGAUUUAGGUGGAAGCGGGUCAAAUUUGAACUGCAGUUGCCUCAUAGUUUGCUAUUUAUUUUUUCCAAAAAUCAUUUCUAGUUACAUAAGUAUCUAUUUAAUCAGAGAAACACCAAAAAAAUUCCAAGAUUCAACCACUAGCUAGGAACGGUCAUUCCCGCCGUUUUGACCGCAUUUUGAAACGGGCAUAAAAAAUUCAAAAAAAACAAAAAAUUAGGAAACCUUCGCAUUGUGUCAUUAUAUGUGGAAAAGUUCUCAGGAAAAAUAACAAACUUGUAAUACGGCAAUUAUUUUAAAAAAGUGUUCUCAGAAAUGAGCUAUCAUCUCUCAAGAUUCAUGGCUUUUUAGCCAAAUGAUCAAUUUUAUGGCCACAUUCAUGGCAUAGUUUGUUCAAAUGAUCUCAUAUUGUGCACAAGGGUGCAUAUUGGAAUGGCAAACAAUGUUGCCUAAGAAAGUUUUCAUUUUCUUUGCACAAAAAAACCAUUUUUCACUUUCCGAGUGCCCAAAAGGAGGUUUUUUUGUGAAGGACCUCCCAAAUAAUUGUUGUAAAAUUGGACCAAAUCAAUUUUCUAAAAUACUAGGACAUAUUUAAUGCACAAUUGACAAAAUGGUUGGGUGCAAAAAGUUUUGAUCCACCUCUCGUGAAAAAGACAAAUUUCCGCCGAUUCAGUUGGAAGUGUGUCAAAUUUGAACUGCAGCUGCCUCAUAGUUUGCUAUUUAUUUUUUCCAAAAAUCAUUUCUAGUUACAUAAGUAUCUAUUUAAUCAGAGAAACACCAAAAAAUUCCAAGAUUCAACCACUAGCUAGGAACGGUCAUUCCCGCCAUUUUGACCGCAUUUUGAAACGAGCAUAAAAAAUUCAAAAAAAUCAAAAAAUUGGGAAACAUUCGCAUUGUGUCAUUAUAUGUGGACAAGUUCCUAGGAAAAAUAACAAACUUGUAAUACGGCAAUUAUUUUAAAAAAGUGUUCUCACAAUUGAGCUAUCAUCUUUCAAAAUUCAUGGCUUUCAAGCCAAAUGAUCAAUCUUAUGGCCACAUUCGUGGCAUAGUUUGUUCAAAUGAUCUCAUAUUGUGCACAAGGGUGCAUAUUGGAAUGGCAAACAAUGUUGCCUAAGGAAGUUUUCAUUUUCUUUGGACAAAAAACCAUUUUUCAUUUUCUGAGUGCCCAAAAGGAGGUUUUUUUGUGAAGGACCUCCCAAAUAAUUGUUGUAAAAUUGGACCAAAUCAAUUUUCUAAAAUACUAGGACAUAUUUAAUGCACAAUUGACAAAAUGGUUGGGUGAAAAAAGUUUUGAUCCACCUCUUGUGAAAAAGACAAAUUUCCGCCGAUUCAGUUGGAAGCGGGUCAAAUUUGAACUGCAGCUACCUCAUAGUUUGCUAUUUAUUUUUUCCAAAAAUCAUUUCUAGUUACAUAAGUAUCUAUUUAAUCAGAGAAACACCAAAAAAUUCCAAGAUUCAACCACUAGCUAGGAACGGUCAUUCCCGCUGUUUUGACCGCAUUUUGAAACGGGCAUAAAAAAUUCAAAAAAAAUCAAAAAAUUAGGAAACCUUCGCAUUGUGUCAUUAUAUGUGGACAAGUUCCCAGGAAAAAUAACAAACUUGUAAUACGGCAAUUAUUUUAAAAAAGUGUUCUCAGAAAUGAGCUAUCAUCUCUGAAGAUUCAUGGCUUUCAAGCCACAUGAUCAAUCUUAUGGCCAUAUUUGUGGCAUAGUUUGUUCAAAUGAUCUCAUAUUGUGCACAAGGGUGCAUAUUGGAAUGGAAAACAAUUUUGCCUAAGGAAGUUUUCAUUUUCUUUGGACGAAAAAACCAUUUUUCAUUUUUCGAGUGCCCAAAAGGAGGUUUUUUGUGAAGGACCUCCCAAAUAAUUGUUGCAAAAUUGGACCAAAUCAAUUUUCUAAAAUACUAGGACAUAUUUAAUGCACAAUUGACAAAAUGGUUGUGUGCAAAAAGUUUUGAUCCACCUCUCGUGAAAAAGACAAAUUUCGCCGAUUCAGUUGGAAGCGGGUCAAAUUUGAACUGCAGCUGCCUCAUAGUUUGCUAUUUAUUUUUUCCAAAAAUCAUUUCUAGUUACAUAAGUACCUAUCUAAUCAUAAAUACAUGGUUUGGUGGCGAUACGUCGAGGUUUGGGCGGUGGCCGAGAGCCCCAACUCUAGAGCGCGUAAACUCGCAUGCCCGCCGCGUGGUCACCACGUGACCGUGGUGUUGCCAUGUGUUCUGGGUGGCCUAGGUAUGUCUAGUGGGUUGGGCACUCCCCAUGUAAGUGCUAGGAAGAAAAUCACAACAUAAGAUUCUCACGAGGAGACCGAUCGAUGCUCAAACAUGAAUAAGCAGCCAAGUGUUUGAUUUGCGGUACGGGAAAUGCACAUGGCUAAUGGGCGUGAGUUUUGGAUGAGGAUGAUCAGUUACUAAGAAGACCGUCUUCACAAAUUUUCACCUAAAAAGGAGGAGCCUAGGUGGUACUUGCUUUACAAAGUACCACACUGGACAUAAAUACGAAUGUUGAAGCUCGGCUCAAAAUAAUGAAUGGAUUGAGCUGGCAUUUGGUGGAGGAUGGUUAUUUGGGCAUAGGAAAGCACUGUAGAAAAUGGAUACUAUUUGGACAUGCCAAAGUGGUACUUCCUUCACAAAGUGCUGCUCUGAACAGAAUAGGAAAAUGAAUAUUUUCGAAUUAUUUUUGAACUAGGCAAGGAAUGUUUUUGACAUAUUUGAUGAAGAUAUGAUCCAAAACAUUUAUGAGAUUUUUUUGGGAAUUUUAGGAAUAAUAAAAAUAUAGGUUGCUUCACAACCUAGGGCAAAAACUGCCACAUGCACAUGACACAUAGGCAAAAUUGAUGAGAUGGCGCCUAGUCAUCACAACCCACCACAAUCUACAAGGCUAUGACCAUCUAUAUUGGUCAUUUACAACUAGAAAUAAGGCAGCGGACUAGCACUGUUUGCUUUGUGACCAUUUCGUAUAAGGAAAUUACGACUUUCUGACCAAAAUGGUCGCAAUGGUUUAGGGUUUGGAGCCCCCCGAACAGCUUUUGACCAAUUGGUCUGAAAUGGUCAUAGAUAUAUGACCAAUUCUUCCAGGUUCACUGAUAGAAGGGCACUAGUUGACAUAUUUCUUGUAGUGGGCCAUCAUCUGGAAUGAAGGGCUCUCCAGAAGAAGUAUUUACGAGAUCCUAGAGUUAGAUUUAACAAAAUCAUUUAACCCGAAUAGAAGAGAGAUCAGAGUCCCAGAGUAUAGACGAGGAGUAAAAGAUCCUAAUACCACCCAAUGGCGAUGUGGGCCUGCAAGCCGCACAACCAUGUUAGUAAAUCAGUUUUUCAAAGACUAAACACAAUUUCGGCCAAGGAGUUGGAAAGGGGGAUCCUACAGGCAGUCGGCUCUGAUACCAACUUGUAACGCCCCCGAUUCAAUCGUACACUAAUCAUACACGCAAAUGUGUACGAUCGAGAUCAGGGACUCAUGGGAAGAUAUCACAACACAACUCUAGACAGAAACAAAAUAAUACAAGCUUUAUAUUACAAGCCAGGGGCCUCGAGGGCUCGAAUACAUAGCUCGAAACACAAGAGUCAGCGGAAGCAACAAUAUCUGAGUACAGACAUAAGUUAAACAAGGGUGCCUUAAGAAGGCUAGCACAAAAGCAACACGAUCGAAGAGGCAAUGCCUCCUGCCUGGGACCUCCUAACUACACCUGGUCGUCGACGGCCUCCACGUAGUAGCAUCCGUCGGCGGUGGCAUCUGGGUCCAAGGAUCCACCAUCUGGUUGCAUCAACCGGAAAGAAUAAAGAAGGGGGAAAAGGGGUAGCAAAGCAACCGUGAGUACUCAUCCAAAGUACUCGCAAGCAUCAGAUCUAUACUAAGUAUGCAUUUGUAUCAAAUGGAAGGGUUGUAUCUGUGGACUGCACUGCAGAAUGCCGGAAUAGAGGGGGAAAGCCUAGCCUAUCGAAGACUAGCAUAUUCGCGCAGCUCCGAGCAUCUUGCAGCAUGUAGAAGAGUAAAGAAUAGCAGUUUAAUAUUUAACAAACAUGUUGUAACAUUAAUGCCCAGAGAUCCUUCCUUGACACCCUGCGAGAAAGCAAUCCCGGAGCCACAUAUCUCAAGUAUCCAUUUGCAGUUGUAUAAGAUCAGGAUAUAAGUCUGAACGUCCAUUACCGUGGACACGGUAUUCGAAUAUAUAACUUCCCUGCAGGGGUGCACCACGUUACCCAACACGCUCGAUCACUCUGGCCGGACACACCUUUCUGGGGUCAAUGCCCGCCCUCGGAAGAUCAACACGUCGCAGCCCUACCUAGGCUCAGCAGAGAGGUCCCCGCCUGUCUACAUCCUAAGCACUCCGGGGUCUUGGGCCCAUCGCCCGCAGCACUCCGGGUCAUUGUGUGCAGGGUGGAUACCAGCACGCCUCGGAUGGCCAACACGAUCCGACCAUGCCACAAUGCUGAACUGGACGUCUGACAAAGCUUCGGCUGAUACUGCGACGUCGAGGCCCAUAUCUAUUCUCGUGUGGUGGUUAGUGCGUAAAAGCAAGAGGUCAACUCAGAACAAAUACCCAAACCAUAGUGUAUUAUUAGUUUGCGGAGACGAGCAGAGACUCACGAUCGAAAGUGACCCCGUCGCCCCGUCUCGCGGACUUACGACAAGGGCCUAGAAUGCCCGGCCGUGCCACGUAACCAUCUUGCGGGUGCUCUCUGGGCCCGCCCGACUUUCACCAAGGUCCCAAGUAAAGUCAAUUGUAACCGUGUGUCCAGACAUCAAGGGGAAAACCCGAGGAAUCACCCUCGGUGGAUUCCACUCAAUGUAAUCAUCAAGGUGAACGUAAGAGAGACCACCCUCGAGGUUCACACUUGAGGUGUUGAACGACAGAGCCGUAUCGGGAAUGGUGAAAGAGGAAAUCACCCUCGAUGGCCACGACCGAAUAGCUACACUACAAAAUUAUUAUCAGGAGUGCGUUAUGAGGGAUCACCCUCGGCACUCGAUAGUAGCUCUGGAGAGUCGAGCAACUAAAGGGGCGUGAUUUGAUGUGAGGUGUAGGGCUCUGGUCGUCGAUCACGUCGAUCGAGGUGUCGAUGAUGAAGCAGGGGCAACAAGGACAAGUGGUGGUCACUGAUGGAUCACUAGCCAACCUAUACUAAGCAGUUUAGGAUAAGCAGAUAGGUAACAAUAAGCAGGUACAAAAGCAGGCUAUGCAUCAGAAUAGGAGCAAACAAUAACAGUAGCAAAAUCUAAUGCAAGCACGAGAGUAUAGAAUGGGCGAUAUCGGGAUGAUCAAAGGGGGGGCUUGCCUGGUUGCUCAGACAAGAAGGAGGGUCGUCGGUGAGGUAGUCGAUCACAGUGGCAUCAGCAGCGGCCUCGAGGUCUAGCGGAGAGAAGAGGGGGAAGAAAAUAGUAAAUACAUAGCAAGCAAGAGCAUAACAGUACAACAGGCAGAGCUAGACGUGUUCUAACGUGACGCUAGGUGAUACUGGCGAAGGGGGAAACAUCCGGGAAAGUAUUCCUGGUUCCGGACGUCUGUCAGACAGAUGAACCAGAGGGGAAAGGUUGCAUGUUUACUAUGCUAGGGAUGUGUGGCGGGCGAACAUACCGCAUAUUCGGAUUCGUCUCGUCGUUCUGAGCAACUUUCAUGUACAAAGUAUUUUAAUCCGAGCUACGGUUUAUUUUAGAUGAUUUUCUAAAGUCUAAACAAUAUUCUAAAAUUAUUUCUAAUUAUUAAAUUCGACAGAAAAGGAAUAAUGACGCCAGCAUGAGGUCAGAGUGAUGUCAGCAGUCAACAGGGCAUUGACUGGUCAAAACUGACUUGUGGAUCCCACUGUCAUUGACACAGUUUAGCUAAACAAUAUAAGACUAAUUAAUCUAAUUAAUCAGGUUAUUAAGCAUGUUAAUUAAGUUAAUUAAUCAUAUUACUAAUUAAUCAUAUUACUAGUUAAUCAUAUAAGACUAACUAGGGCUAUUCCACAUGUCAUAGGGUACAACUAAAACUAAGUCUAAUAUAAAUUAGUCUAACAAAGGGGCUUGUUUAACUAGGGAUUAGCCCUAAGCUAGCAAAGGGCCGGCCACACACGGCUGUGGCAAAAGGCAGCCACACACAGAACACACAUACGCUGCACACACACCACACAGCACACUUGGCCAUGGCCGUGGCCAUUGCCAGUAGCAGCAGCAGCCGGUGGUAGUGGGCAGCAGUAGUACCAGCAACAGAGCAGCAUAGCAGCGGGCUAAGCACGAAGCAGCAGUAACAGCAACUAGCAGAUACAGCAGUAAUAAACAGCAGCAGAGAGCAGCGGCACAAGCAGUUCAGCGCAGCAGGCAGCGGCGAAAAGUAGCAGUUGCAGGCGCAACGCACGACGACGGGAGUGGCGGGGUGCGACCAGGGGACGGCCGGUGCGCGGCCUGUCGCGGCCAGGGUGCGCGUACCGGGCGCCGUGGCGCGAGGCUGCUCGGACCGCGGCCAACGGCCGGAGCUUGGGCGACACGGGCGUGGCCGAGCGCGAGGCUGCGGCGCAGCCGAUGCCGAGGAGCAGCAGCAGGGCAAGCACGCAGAGCAGGGGGCGCGACCCCGGGCAGAUGCGCACGCGCGAGGGCGCGGACUAGGACGGCCAGGGACGCGGGGGAAGGCACGGCCACGACGAGCUCGUAGCCAUGGCGGACGACGGUUUCGGCCACGGACAGGAGGGGCGCUGAGGGCGACAGUGGCGGGCGUGCCUCGGCUCUAAUGGCGAUGGGGGCUUCGGGCACGGGAUACACGGAGGAAAACGGAGGGGAAUCGACCGCAAGCUCACCAGAGGAGCACAUGGAGGCUCGGUGUUUGCUUAGGAGCAGUAGAGCGACGGCAAUCGUCGGAGAAGCUCGUCAGAGCCGAAGGUGAAGAAGAGAUCGCAGUGCUCGCUGCAGGGGGUCCCUCCAUGAUCCAGUGGGCGAGGAGGAUGGAGCAGUCGACGGCGGUGCCCUCGGACUCGGUCUUAUGGCGCGGGGACGAUGGUGGCCGCGGGAUCGACGAAGGCGACGACGAUGGAGGCGUCGGGUAGAUGUGGGGGGAGUGCAGGAGUGGGGAAAAUAUCUGGUGGGGGGAGCUGACGAAGCUGAGGGGACUCUACCUUAUCCCCUCGGCGCGGCAGCGAUGCGGGGGCGGCGAG